rnacentral:lncRNA from 1 species
CAUCAUCCACCUAUGGCUGAAGAUCCACCAGCCCACAGGAUGGUAGGCAAAGUGGAAAUCUUACUCGCAACUAGUGUGACCUCCGUAAUUUGAACACCAACUCUUGGGGGUAGAUUUGAGUUGAAGAAGAACAUAGUGUGGCUUCUGAACAUUAGUGGACAGUUUACUGGCUUGUCAAAUGAAGAGCCACAGGUCCACUUGCAAAAUUUUCUUAAGAUCAAUGACAUACUCAUCCCUAUGGGUAUGUCAACUGAUUAUAUGAGACUGACACUCUUUCUUUUUUUACAUUUUGAGAAAGCAAAGAAGUGGUUCAAUUCUGAGCCGACAGGUUAAAUCACUACAUUGGAUGACUGGGCCUGGAAAUUCCUUAUCCAUUCUUUCCAUCCGACAAGACUGUGAGACUAUGCAGUGAGAUUUUGAGCUUCAAGCAGAAGUCGGGUGAGAACCUAUAUCAUGCUUAGGAGAGGUUGAAAUCUCUUCUUCGAGAUUGUCCAUAUCACCAAUAGUCUAAGAGGUAUUAGCUCACACCUUUGUUGAGACUCUUGACCAUAAUGUAAAAAUUUUGCAAGAUUCAACUGUAGGUGGUCAAGAAUUAGAAAAGACCUAUGAUGAGCUCUAUACCUUAUUGAACUGUAUUACACAAAGUAAUCCUGACUGGCAUGGUGACAUCUCAAAAAGCUCAGUGAAAAAGGUAGUAGGCAUGACUGAAGUUGAUAGUAUCACGGCCUUAGAUAUGUAGAAUCAGAUGAUGACUUAAUUCAGUAAAUUAGGUAUGAACCAAUCUUCAGCUCAAGUUAAUGCAGUCCAGUUAUAACACCCUGAAUCUGGUACCCAGAAUGCUAUACAGUACUCAUGACCUCGAAGGACCAUAAGCUAACCUAUGACUGAUAUUUGUACCUGAACACUGCAUAAUAGACAGUAUAAAUGCAAAAAUAGUAGGCUGAAACAUGCCAUAAGGUUCAAAACUGAUAAACAUCUGAUAAAACCAUAUCUAAAUAAUGUGGUAUGACAAUACCAAAAAUGAAACAAUGUCUGAAAGAAUCUAAUAUGAAAACAUUGUAAUCUGAAAGCCUCUAAACUGUCUGAAUUAAAAGUUGAUGGGACAUGUCCCCACCUAACUCCAGACUACUUAAAUAAUAAAGUAAUAAAAUAAUUAUGCUAUCCUCGAAUGAUAAGGACUCACUGCUAGUCUGGCUGCUGAAUGUCCGAUCUACUAAGGAUGCUCUAGAGCUCCUACUUCUGAACCUAUGGUAUAAAACACCAUAGCGCAAAUACGUCAGUACGAUUGAAUGUACUGGUAUACAAGUGCGGUAGGCUGAAUUCAAAGGAUUCAAAUGCAUGAACAAUUCUAACUGACUAUCUAAUAUAAACGUGAGAAAUACAUGCAUUAAUAAGUGACUGUGACUAAAUUCGUGAUGGUACUGACUACUGAGUCUGAUUAUUGAUAACAAGAGUCACUGAUAACUGAUAUAACCGAUACUGAGCGACUGUAUCUGACAGUCUAGGUUCUGAUUGAACUAACUGAGUUUCAUACUAUUCUGAGUUGACUAUAUCUGACAAUCUUGACAUUCUAAAGAACUAUUUGAGUUCUAUUACUGAGACUAAUUUUGAAACUAUAACUGUGGGAAGUAGUCAUCUAACUGACAUGCCCCAAAUAAAGCAACAUGGCUAGGUUGGGGUCCAAUCUGUAACCCCAAUUGGAAGGGUGUCAAUACCGUGCCACUGGUAAAGACAAGUGUGGGUGACCCUCAUCUGACAGUAUCCCCAAAAAGAGAUCGGUGGGACCCUCAUCAAACAGUGUUUAUCUACCUCAUCAACCCUCAUUUAUCAGUGUUGAUGUCUCAACCUAUGCUGGCUACAUAGUUCUGGAAUGCAAGGAGUACUUCUAAGGAUCACACCCUCAACUAUCAGUGUGUCCUCAUCCUUGGGUUCACUCGGUGCUAAAUCCUACUCCUAUCUGAAUAGACACUGAACAUAAUUAACUAAACUGAACUGGACUGAGUUUGUUGAUUUCUGUUGACUAACGUAAUACUACUGAGAUUACUGAAGUACUGAGCUUUCUGAGAUUACUAGGAUUACUGAGUUUACUGAGUUUUUUUGAGUCAUAUGACUGACUAAAUUCUACUGAACAUGGUUUAACUGAGGAUAUUGUGAAAACAUGACACUGGCUAUAGGCACAUAGCUAAAUUGUUGGGUACAAAUACCCCCAGGACUCGAUAGAAAGAAAUUGACAAGGCACGACAUUCUUGAAUAAACGACCAAUAUUAAUAAUCCAUAAUACGAUAAGUUGGAGAUUUCAUGAAGUACAUGGUUAUCAUUAUCUUGUACAUAUUUGGAAUGCAUAUACUCAAUGUUAUAAUUUCAUACUCUAACAUCAUGAUCAUUUCAAGAAACAUCUAUAUUGCACAUCAAUAGCAUAGGAGUCAUUUGAACAUAAGGGUAAAACAUGAAUCCUUCACUUAAGUCAUAAUUGAGUCAUAUUACAUAAUUUCUAGUCUCUUAGGCAUUUUGUCAAACACUUAGGGUGAAUGAUUUAGGGCAUGGCAUACUCAUCAAAUUAAUAUAUCAUAACCAACGAAAAUUCAUGGUUUUCAACUCACAUGCUAACAUAUUUUCAUAAAAACACAUAGAGAUUCUAACUUGGGAAUCAUACAACAACAACAACCACAUGAACAUAAUCAACACAUAGCAUGAAUAUCAUAAUUCAUAGUAUAAAACUUGAUUCUUGGGCUUCAUGGACGAAAGGAAUCCAUGAAUGAACACUAUGCAUACCUGAGAAAGGAAACCUUGAAGGUUCUUGGAGUUCUUGGAUGGAUUUCUUGGAAUUGACUUUGACUUCUUGAAAACUAGUGUUUUGUUUCUUGGGAGAGAAUGCUCUUGUUUUUGGAGAAAAGUGAGUAAAAUAAUAGUUUAAAAUGUUUUUAGGGGUUAAAUCCCGCCCCUGGACGUAUUAAAACCUUGGGAAAAGACCCAUUUAUCCCUGGACAAAAUAUUUAAUUUUUGUCAAAAUAUCCCGAUUUGGCAGGCUGGUACGUCGCGGCGCGACUGGAAAUUGCCAACUGGGAACUGGGCUGACGGUGCGAAUACGGUAGAAUCAUGUUGGUACACUAGAAUUUGAAAAUUGUAAACUCGUACUUUGGUGCGACGCACCACUAUUGCAGAGCAAUGCUGGAAAUUGAAAAUUGCUAUUUAAGAUGGCUUUGCGACGCGCUGAUGGCUCUAGUGAUACACUGUCUCACUUAAAAGGCUCUUACUCUUCACCCGGGUGUUGGAUUUGGGCGAAUUUGGUAUCGAUGGAAAGCUUAUUAAAUUUACCACACAACAAAAAGUGAAAAUCUUGAAAAUGCCACAUGUAUAAAUGUUUAUUGAUCUUUAAAAGAUAUCUUUGACAUCUUCAGGAUGAAUUUAAGCUAGGUAGAAGCUACAAUAUCACCCCCUUGGGAACAUUCAUCCUCAAAUGAGACUAAUUUAGAUGGGAAAACUGAAACAUUAGUACACGACCAACAUUACUAAGAUUCAUGUUGAUCAUGCAUAUCUGAUGCAUGGUUUAUGACUGAGCUGAUACAUUAAUACAUAACUGAGAGUACUGAUAAGCUGAUCAUACGUAUCUGAUGUGUGAAUACAUGACUGAACUAAUGCAUGAACAUGUUAUUGAAUAUGAAAUGGUAAAUGGAUACCAAGUUUAAAAUGGAAAUCUGAGCAUGAAACUGGUUUAUAACCGAAACUUGCACAUGAAACUGAAUAAGCUUAAGGAGAACUGUUACCUUAAGCUAAAUCUAAGUUUGCGGAGAAGAGGUGAGGAUACUUGGUCCGUAUAUUUGCUUCUGCUUCCCAAGUAACUCCCUCAACGGACUGAUUUUGCCAAAGAAAUUUAACUAGCGAGACUUCUUUGUUCCUCAGUCUGCGAGUCUGAUAGUCAAGAAUUUUGACUAGAAUAUCUUUUAAAGAGAGGUUGUUCUAAAUAUCUAUGCUCUAAAUAGGGACUACAACUGCGGGUUCACCUAUGCACUUCUUGAUCAAAGAGACAUGAAAGACUGGAUGAACUGACGCUAGAUCUGAAGGAAAUUUGAGAUCAUAGCUACUUUGUCGAAGCAACUGAGAAUUUUUAAGGGACCGACAUAUCAAGGAUUGAGCUUUCCCUUCUUGCCGAAUCUCUUUACUUCCAUCAUGGGAGAUAUCUUUAGAUAAACAUAGUCAUCAAUCUCGAACUUGAUAUCUUUUUUGUGCACAUCUGCAUAAGACUUCUGUCUGCUCUAAGCAGCCCGGAGUCUUUCUCUAAUCAACUGGACUUUUUCUAAGGCAUCGAAUACUAAGUCAGGCCCUAUAAUUGAGGCCUCACUAACUUCAAACUAACCAACUAGAGAUCUUCACCUCCUACCAUAGAGAGCUUUGAAUGGAGCCAUCUCAAUACUGGAAUAAUAGUUAUUGUUGUAUGCAAACUCAAUCAAAGGCAAGUGGUCAUUCCAACUACCCUUGAAAUUAAUUGCACACGCUAGCAGCAUAUCUUCUAAAGUCUGAAUGGUCCUUUUUACUUGACCAUUUGUUUGAGGAUGGAAGGUUGUACUGAGAUGAACUUAGGUACCAAGACCCUUUUGGAACGCUAUCUAGAAAUAAGAGGUGAACUGGGUACCUCUGUUUGAAAUAAUAGAUAAUGGAACACCGUUCAAUCUGACCAACUCUCUGAUGUAGAGUUUAGCAUAAUCCUCAGCUGAAUAAGAGGUAUGGACUAGAAGGAUAUGAGCUAAUUUGGUCAUCCUGUCUACAAUGACCCAAACUGAAACAUGCUGAUGAUGAGUAUGAGGCAAACCCAUCACGAAGUCUAUGUUCACUUCUUACCACUUCAAAGUAGGAAUAUUGAACUAUGGCAUGGACCCACUAGUCUUCUGAUUCUCUAUCUUAAGUUGUUAACAUGUAGAGCACUUAUCCACAAACUCUACCAUAUCUCUCUUCAUCCCACUCCACUAAUAGAUCUCUCGUAAGUUAUGUUACAUCUUUGUGGCCCCUGGAUGAAUAGAGUAGUACUCACUAUGCACUUCUGCAAGAAUUACCUACCUCAAGUCAUCUACACCUGGAACACACAGAAAACCCUGAUAACAUAAUACACUAUCUCCUCAUUUGGAGAAAACCUCAACCUACUGAUCCUUGACUGACUCUUUACACUUGACUAGACUGGGAUCUCUAUCUUGCUUUUCUUUCACCUUAAAAACUAGAGAUGAUUCUGAACUACUCUGAACCCAUAUAUCACCCUCCUCUAUAUCGACUAAGCGAAUACCUAGUCUGGCAAGCUGAUGGAAUUCCUGAUCUAACUUCUUCUUACUGUCCUCAACAUGAACAACACUACCCAUAAACUGUCUACUGAGAACAUCAGCCACUAUGUUGGCCUUAUCUGGAUUAUAAAGGACACUCAUGUCAUAAUAUUUCAAGAGCUCUAACCACCUUCUCUGAUGAAGAUUGAGAUUUUUCUAAGAAAAGACAUACUGAAGGCUUUUAUGAACUGUGAAAACAUCUACAUGAACUUCGUAUAGAUAAUGCCUCCAAAUCUCUAAGGUAUAUACUACAGCUACUAAUUCAAGAUCAUGAGUAGGAUAAUUCUUCUCAUAGGGUUUAAGUUGUCUGGAGGCGUAGGCUAUGACCUUACCAUGCUGCAUGAGGACACAACCCAAACCUACUCUAGAUGCAUCACAGUACACUACGAACCCAUCUGAACCAUUUGGAAGAGUUAAAAUUGGGGCUGAGGUGAGUCGAGUCUUGAACUCCUGAAAACUCUUCUCAGAAGGAUCUGACCACUAAAACUUAACUUUCUUCUAAGUCAAUCUAUACAUAGGGGAUGCAUUAGAAGAAAAUCCCUCAACAAACCAUCUAUAAUAGACAUCCAAUCCCAAGAAACUUCUGAUAUCUGAUGGAGAGAUAGGUCUAGGCCAGUUUCUUAUUACUUCAGUCUUUUGAGGAUCUGCUCUAAUGUCAUCACUGGAAAUAAUAUGACCAUGGAAUGCUACUGACCUUAGAAAAAAUUCAUACUUACAAAAUUUGGCGAAUAGCUAAUGAUCUCUGAGAGUCGGAAGUAUGAUUCUGAGAUGGUCUGCAUGAUCACAUUCACUGCGAGAAUAGACAAGAGAGUCAUUUAUGAAGACUAUGAUGAACAUAUCCAAGUACUGCUUGAACACACGGUUCAUCUACUCCAUGAAAUCUAUAGGGGCAUUGGUAAAACCAAAGGACAUAACUAGGAAUUUGAAGUAACCAUACUGAGUUUGAAAAGCUAUUUUCGGAAUGUCACAUUCCCUGACUCUGAGCUGAUGAUAGCUUGAUCUAAGGUCUAUCUUAGAUAAAUAGUUGGCACCCUAAAGUUAGUCAAAAGUCGUCAAUUUGGGGAAGUGGAUACUUGUUCUUGACCAUGACUGUAUUAAGCUGAUGGUAAUCAAUGCACAUUCUGAGAGAAAUGUCUUUCUUGUGGAUGAACAAGACUGGUGCGCGCUACGGGGACACACUGGGUCUGAUGAAUCCCUUAUAUAAGAGAUCCUCCAACUGCUCUUUUAGUUUUUUAAGUUCUGCUGGUGCCAUUCUGUAUGGCGAAAUAGAUAUAGGUAGAGUAUCUGGAAUAAGAUCAAUGCCGAAGUCUAUUUCUUUUUCAAGAGAAUUCCUGGAAGAUUUUCGAGAAAGAUAUCUGAAUAUUCACUCACGGCUAGGACUGAUUUCAGACUGGAGUCUCGAAACUAGAAUUCUUAACAUGAAUAAGAUGAUAGACACAUCUCUUAGAUAUCAUUUUUCAUGCCCGAAGGUAGGCAAUAAGCUGACCUCUGAAAUCUGAAGUACUACCUCUUCACUCUAGGACAGGUUUAUUCCAACUAAAAAUAAAAAACUUUAUUUCUACAGUCUACUAAAGCAUAUCAUGAAUGAAGACAAUCCAUGAUGAGAAUGACAUCAAAAUUAAUUAUCUCUAAUUCAACUAAGUCUGCUGAGGUGAGUUUCUAAAAUAUCAUAACCGGGCAGUUCCUGUAUACUAUUAUAUAGGGAGUAACGAAAGAUAAGAAAGCUCCUGGAUCUAGCAAGCAUCAACAUGCAAGUGAAAGAUCUGUAACAUACCAGUAACUACAUUAGGAGAAUUUUCCUGAUCUUUCUGGGACUAGAGAGCAUAAAGUCUGUUUGGUCGCUGCCCACUAGUAGCAGUGGAAGUAACACCCUACUAAUUUGGGCGACUGGACUGGGUUGAGGAACGGUUUUGCUGACCCUGAUAACCUAACUGGGGACAAUCUCUGACUCUGUGGCCUGGCUUGCCACAUCCAAAAUAGACAUCACUGCCAGCUCUGCAAGUACCCUUGUGGUUCUUACCACAAGUCUGACAAAGAGGAUUUGUUUGGGCAUUGCUAAUACUUCCCUGAGACAUAGAGUCUGGCACCUUAUCUCUAUUACCAUCCUUAAACUUAGGAGCUGGAGCACUAGCUGAAAAGGAGCUGGAGCACUAGCUGAAGAAAGAGCUGGAACGUAUGACUUAGGAUGGAAUUGAGAAUGGUUUCCUCCCUCUGACUUAGGCCGAGUAAAGUUGAAAAUACCUGUCCUUGCUCUCUUAUUCUGCCUCUCUCUCAUCUUAAUCUUUUUCAAAUCUAUCUGUUGAGCAUGGUUCAUAAGCCUGGAUAUGUCCAUAUCACUAUUUAACAUCACAGACCUACACUUAUUGACCACACUAGCAUUCACCCUAACAGAAACAAAACUAACUUAUGUUAGCCCUGCUAUCUGCAACCAUAUGAGUAGCAUAUCAGGCUAAUUGAUUAAACUUAAGAGAAUACUCUUUCACCAUCAUAUUGCCCUACCCGAGGUUGAUAAAUUUUAACACAUUAGCAUCCCUUAACUCUUGGUGAAAGAAUCUAAGAAUGCAGUGACAAACUCCUCCCACUCAAUAGGCCCUGCAUCAACUGACCUCUCUAACUUUUACUGUUUGAACCAAGUGUAAGAAACAUCAUGUAACUGAUAUGCAGCUAGCUCAACACUCUCACUAGAAGUAACCCCCAUGAUGUUCGUAAUCUUCUGAACCUGGUCUAGGAACUCCUGAGGAUCCUCUUCUAACUUAGACUCAAAAAGGAUUGAGAAUUCAUUAGGGUGAAAUCCCGAAUCCUGGCUACAGCUGAAUUGGCCACUAGGUUGGCUAAAAUGAUAGUUGGUCAUUCAUUCUGAGCAUCAAAUAAAUUAGCAAGAGUGGUAAAUGCAGCUCUGAACUCUACAUGAGAAAUAUGUUAGUCUAAGGGAUCUGCUUGGACGGGCUGAGGGGCUGACUGAUUUCUAUUUCUUCUUUUAGGAGGCAUAUUCUACAGAAGAAAGGGAGAAAUGGAUUAGAUUGAGAUUUAAAUUUGAGUUCACACUCACUGGCACGACAUGAAUACUAAAAGAAGGGAAACUAUUCCUAAAACAUCUCAUAGCCUCCUGCACAUUAAUAUGGCGUGCAACACAUCUAUGUACAAGUCUCUACUAGAUGCAAAUUUCAUACUUCCUAGGACUCUAUUGAACCUUAGGCUCUGAUACUAAGUUUGUAACGCCCCGAAUCUCGUACCCAAAAUUCUACACAGUACACAUGACCCCGAAGGACCAUAAGCUAACACAUGACUGAUAUCUAUACCUAAACACUAUAUAAUAGAUUGUAUAAAUAUGGAAAUAGUAGGCUGAAACAUGCCAUAAGGUUCAAAAAUGAUAAAUAUCUGAUAAAACUAUAUCUGAAUAAUGUGGUACGACAAUACCAAAACUAAAACAAUGUCAGAAAACAUCUAGUCUAAAAACACUGUAGUCUGAAAGCCUCUAAACUGUCUGAAUGAGGAGCUGAUGGGACAUGUCCCCAACUAACUCUGGACUACUGAAAUAAUAAAGUAAUAAAAUAAUUAUGCUAUCCUUGAAUGAUGAGGACUCACUGCUGGUCUGGCUGCUGAACGUCUGAUCUACUAAGGAUGCUCUAGAUCUUGUACUUCUUAACCUAUAGUAUAAAACACCAUAGAGCAAAUGUAUCAGUACGAUUGAAUGUACUAGUAUGCAAGUGAGGUAGGCUGAAUGCGAAGGAUUCAAAUGCAUGAACAAUGCUAACUGACUGUCUAAUAUGAACGUGAGAAUACAUGUAUUAAUCUGAUGAAGUGUACCACCUUCUCUGAUGAAGAUUGAGAUUUUUCUAAGAAAAGACAUACUGAAGGCUCUUAUGAACUGUGAAACCAUCUACAUGAUCUUCGUAUAGAUAAUGCCUCCAAAUCUCUAAGGUAUAUACUACAGCUACUAAUUCAAGAUCAUGAGUAGGAUAAUUCUUCUCAUAGGGUUUAAGUUGUCUGGAGGCGUAGGCUAUGACCUUACCAUGCUGCAUGAGGACACAACCCAAACCUACUCUAGAUACAUCACAGUACACUACGAACCCAUCUGAACCAUUUGGAAGAGUUAAAAUUGGGGCUGAGGUGAGUCGAGUCUUCAACUCCUGAAAACACUUCUCACAAGGAUCUGACCACUAAAACUUAACUUUCUUCUAAGUCAAUCUAUACAUAGGGGAUGCAUUAGAAGAAAAUCCCUCAACAAACCAUCUAUAAUAGACAUCCAAUCCCAAGAAACUUCUGAUAUCUGAUGGAGAGAUAGGUCUAGGCCAGUUUCUUAUUACUUCAGUCUUUUGAGGAUCUGCUCUAAUGUCAUCACUGGAAAUAAUAUGACCAUGGAAUGCUACUGACCUUAGAAAAAAUUCAUACUUACAAAAUUUGGCGAAUAGCUAAUGAUCUCUGAGAGUCGGAAGUACGAUUCUGAGAUGGUCUGCAUGAUCACAUUCACUGCGAGAAUAGACAAGAGAGUCAUCUAUGAAGACUAUGAUGAACAUAUCCAAGUACUGCUUGAACACACGGUUCAUCUACUCCAUGAAACCUAUAGGGGCGUUGGUAAAACCAAAGGACAUAACUAGGAAUUUGAAGUAACCAUACUGAGUUUGGAAAGCUAUUUUCGGAAUGUCACAUUCCCUGACUCUGAGCUGAUGAUAGCUUGAUCUAAGGUCUAUCUUAGAUAAAUAGUUGGCACCCUAAAGUUAGUCAAAAGUCGUCAAUUUGGGGAAGUGGAUACUUGUUCUUGACCAUGACUGUAUUAAGCUGAUGGUAAUCAAUGCACAUUCUGAGAGAAAUGUCUUUCUUGUGGAUGAACAAGACUGGUGCGCGCUACGGGGACACACUGGGUCUGAUGAAUCCCUUAUAUAAGAGAUCCUUCAACUGCUCUUUUAGUUUUUUAAGUUCUGCUGGUGCCAUUCUGUAUGGCGAAAUAGAUAUAGGCAGAGUAUCUGGAAUAAGAUCAAUGCCAAAGUCUAUUUCUUUUUCAAGAGAAAUUCCUGGAAGAUUUUCGAGAAAGAUAUCUGAAUAUUCACUCACGACUGGAACUGAUUUCAGACUGGAGUCUCGAAACUAUAAUCCUUAACAUGAAUAAGAUGAUAGACACAUCUCUUAGAUAUCAUUUUUCAUGCCCAAAGGUAGGCAAUAAGCUGACCUCUGAAAGCUGAAGUACUACCUCUUCACUCUAGGACAGGUUUAUUCCAAAACUAGAACUGGACUAUUCUAUUUCUGCAACUGUGGCAUCGCAGGAAUGAAGACAAUCCAUGAUGAGAAUGACAUCAAAAUUAAUUAUCUCUAAUUCAACUAAGUCUGCUGAGGUGAGUUUCUAAAAUAUCAUAACCGGGCAGUUCCUAUAUCCCCCUUGGGAGAAAACCUCCACUUUUUUAUCUCCAACUGCCUCAUUCAACUUAACCAAACUAGGAUCCCUAUCUUGUUUUUAUUUUAAUUCAGCAAUCAACGAAGAUUUCAAACCAUUCUAAACCCAUAUACUACCUUCAACUGAAUCAACCAACCAAACACCUAAUUUAACAAGCUAAUGAACCUCACUGACUAACUUUCUCUUAUCUCCCUCAACAUAAGAAACACUACCCAUAUACAUCCUACUAAGGGCAUCUACCACUAUAUUAGCCUUGCCCGGAUGAUACAACAGACUCAUAUCACAAUCUUUCAAUAACUCAAGCCACUUUCUCUGAUGAAGAUUUAGAUUUUUCUGCGUGAACAUGUACUAAAAACUCUUGUGAUUAGAGAACACAUCAACAUGAACCCCAUAAAUAUAAUGCCUCCAAAUUUUUAAGGCAAAAACAAUAUCUUCCAACUCAAGAUCAUGGGUAGGAUAGUUCUUUUCAUUGGGUUUAAGCUGUCUAGAGGUAUAGGCUAUGACCUUACCUCUCUGCAUUAAUACAUAACCAAGACCAACUCUAGAAGUAUCAUCGUAAACUAUAAAUCAAUUUGAACCAUCUGGCAAAGUCAAGACUGGGGCAGAAGUGAGUUGCGUCUUCAAACUCCAGAAAACUCUUCUCAUAGGAAUCUGACCACUGAAAUUUAACCUUCUUCUGAGUCAAUCGAGCCAUGGGGGAUGCAAUAGAAUAAUACCCUUUAACAAACUAUCUGUAAUAGCAGCCAAACCCAAGAAACUAUUGAUAUCUGAUGGAAAGAUAGGUCUAGGCCAGUUUUUUAUUAUUUUUUCUUUUGAGGGUCAACUCGGAUGCCAUUAUCGAAAUAAUAUGGCCAAGGAAAGCCACUGAUCUUAUCCAAAAUUUGUAAUUGCUAAAUUUGGUGAACAACUGAUGAGCUCUAAGAGUCUGCAAUAUAAUUUUCAAAUGGUCUGCAUGAUCAUUCUCACUACAGAAAUAAACAAGGAUGUCAUCAAUGAAGACUAUGAUGAACAUGUCCAAGUAAUGCUUGAACACCCUAUUCAUCAAGUGCAUAAAAGUGGUCGGGGCAUUCGUUAGUCCAAAAAAAUAACUAGGAAUUCAAAGUGACCAUACCGAGUUUUGAAAGCUAUCUUUGGGAUUUCACGUUCUCUGACUCUGAAGUAAUGAUAGCAGGAUCUGAGGUCUAUCUUAGAGAAAUAAAUGGCACCCUGAAGUUAGUCAAAUAAGUCAUUAGUUCUGGGUAGUGGAUACUUAUUAUUAAUAGUGACUUUAUUCAACUGAUGGUAAUUGAUACAUAUUCUGAUAGAACCAUCUCUCUUAUGCACGAAAAGGACUGAAGCGCCCCAUGGAGAAACACUAAUACUGAUAAAACCCUUAUCUAAAAGGUCUUUUAACUGUUCUAUAAGUUUCUUAAGCUCAUCUGGAGUCAUUUUGUAAGGUGGAAUAGAGAUAGGUUGGGUGUCUAGAAGAAGAACUAUUCUGAAGUCAAUUUCCUUCUCGAGAGGGAUUCUGAGAAAAUCUUCAGGGAAUACAUUUGAUAAUUCAUUUACUACUGGAACUAACUCAAGACUUGGAGCCUCAAAAUUCGAGUCUUUACUCGAACAAAAUGGUAAAUACACCUCUUGGAUAUCAUCUUUCUUGCUCUAACAUAGAAAACAAACUGAUAUUUAGGCAUUGAAGUACUACCCCUCCAUUCAAUGACUGGUUCAUUGGGAAAUUGAAACUGAACGACUCUAUUUCUACAAUCAACUAAGGAAUAGCAUAAGUGGAGCCAAUCCAUGCUGAGAAUGAUAUCGAAAUCAGUCAUCUCUAACUCCACCAGUUCAACUAAGGUAAUUUUUUAAGAUACUGUGAUCGGGCAAUUUCUGAGAUACUGUGACCACACUAUAAGCUACACUAGAUACAAACUUACUCAUUCUAUCCCUAUUAUCUUCCACCAUAGUAGGAGCAUAAAUCGCCAACUGAGUGAACUUAAGCGAGUACUCCUCAUACUCAUACUUCUCUGUUUCAAGUUAAUAAACUCUUGAACCUUAUCUUUCCUCAACUCUAGGGGAAAAAACCUAUCUAAAAAAGUUGUGGCAAACUCCUCCCACUCUACAAGCCCUGCAUCAACACCUCGGUCCUCCUUUCACUUUUUAAACUAGGUAUGGGAUACAUUAUACAACUGAUAUGUAGCCAACUCUGUAACUCUCAUUCGAAGUAACGCUCAUGAUAUCUGUCACUUUCUACAUCAUGUCUAAAAAUUCCUGCGCAUCCUCCUCAAACUUAGAUCCUAAAAAUAGAGGGCGAUUCAUCUGAGUGAAAUCUUGAAUCCUAACUACAGAUGUAUUUUCCACUAGAUUGGAUGGAGUAACAGUUGACUGGUUGUUCUGAGUAGCUACAGAAUGGGCUAGGGUAGUGGAAGCAUCCCUGAAUUCAACGUAAGAGACAUGCUCAUUCAGGGGAUCUUCCUGAACAUGAGGUGUGGGUUGAUCCAUAUUGCUUUUUUUGUUAUUUAAUCUGGGAAGCAUUGUCUGCAAACUGAAUGAAGGAUGAGUUAGAAAGAGAAAUUUCAUUGAGCUCAUUCUCUUUUAUAUGACAUAAACACUAAAAGAAGGAAAACUUUUCUAAAAUGUCUCAUAGCCUCUUAUAUAUAAGUGUGGUGCACUUUACACCCAUGCAUAAGACUCUACUCAACGCGACUUUCAGUCUUCUUAGGACACUCUAAAAGCUCAGGGUAUGAUACUAAGUUUUAUCAUGACCCGAGGCUACCUUUUACUUGCGACAAUGGUGCUUACCACCAUAAGUGACCACAAGCUAACCCAUGAGUUGGUACUUGCUGCGAGCACUGAGUAAAAUAGUAAUAUAACAUAUCAGCGGAAAUAAACUAAUAAGGUACUAUAAAUUUGAAUACUAAAAUAUAUUUCAACAUGUCUGAAAUAUCUGAUAAAAUACUAAAAAACAAAUUGUCUGUCCGAAGCAACUGAUAAGACUAAAAGAAAUGACUGACUAUCUAACUGAUUGUCUGAAAACCUAUAAAAAUCAUGAAGAUUUGAUAGGAAAAAACCCCAACUAACUCCAACUGAAAAAACAUAAGGAAAUACCAAAAUAACUGACAUAAACUUAUCAUGUCCUGGAUGGAUGAGGACUCACCACUACUGCUGCUAAGUAACAUUGAGCUGUCUAAGAACGAUCAGGAAACUGAGCAUCUGAACCUAUGUUAUAAGACAACAUAGCGCAAAGAAAAGUAUGCAAUCAGUACUUUGAAUAUACUGGUAUAUGAGAUAAGGACUGGUUGAAGUACAUGAGAUAACUUAGCAUGAAUGCAUGAACAUAUAAUGUCUGAGAAUGUAAGACCAAGAAUAAACAUAUAUUUGAGAUAAUCUAUAAUUUAAAAGACUGAAUUUUGUGUAACUAAAUAACUGAAAAUCUGUAUAAUUUGGUCAAACAAACCUGAGCUAAUGUAUACAGAAUAACUGUAGGAGGUAUCAUGUAACCGACAUGCCCCAAUCGGAGCUAAUUGGUGUCUAACUUGUAACCCAAGUUGGAAGGGUGUCAGUACUAUACCAUGGGUACUAACACUGGCUGUGUGGAUCCACUAAUCUGAUGUCCCAAAGGACUAAGGAGUUAGCCCUAAACUGGCGGGUGACCCCUAAGAUAGUGUCAGUCUUAAACUGGCGGGUGAUAUCUCAUAAUCCUAUGCUGGCUACAUAGUUCUAGAACUUAGGGACUUCUACUAAGGACCCAGUCCUAACUGGCGGGUAAGCCCCCAUCCCUAGGUUCGCUCGGUGCUAAAUCCUACUCCUAACUGAAUUGACACUGGUACUGAACUGAACUAAACUCAAUUGAACAUUAUUUUUGAUAGUUCUCAUCAUGGUUAUAAACAUCUAAGUAUAAUGAUAAGUUUCAUGGCUUAUCUGACAGACUAGUUAAAAACUUGAAAUCAUGUAAAGCACGUAAGUAACGGGUGUUCAUAACCCACUAGCACUAAAUGAUCAUAAAAUACGAAAUCAAAACUUUAUUUUUGAUGCUGCCUCUCGGGCCUUCGUGGUUUGGGAUGCCCGUCUCGGCUAGGGCCCCGGCUCGGGUCAUGACAGCAUUACACAUCCACUCAGAAUUACCUAUAUACUACUUUAUUUUUAAUAUAUUUUCCAUAUUUUUCCUUUGUUCAAUUAAACUUUACUCUAUACUUGGUCCUUUUCAAUCAAUUACAGUUAAAAAUACUGCCAACAAAAUUGCAAUUAAACCAACUUAAGCAAGAUGGGCGUCUUAAGUGUCUAUUCAGUCGCAGCAGGAAGAUAUGUAGCUUAUCCCUUAUGAAACAACACUUAUAAACCUAGUAAAAGAAUGAAUCUAUUCUACCAAAAAAAUCUCUGAUGGUAUCAUUUGAAAUAAAAAGCCUACCGAAAUUAAUGAAAAUUGGAACUGAACAAUCAGAAUAAUUUUGGUAGAAUUUUUACCAGCGAAGAGAAAUCGAAUUACUUUUCUUUUUCCAGUGAAAUUAGAUAACUUCAAAAGUAAAAGAUUAACCUAAAUUGUGGAGAUAACAUGAAGGUCUAAUAUAGUGUUUUGUGUGAUGUGAAGACACGUGUUUAUUGAUGAAAGAAAUAGAAGACACCUGUGAACAAAUAGCCAAAAGUCCAUUAUGCCACAAAAAGUGAAAGUUUAUUGUUAACUUUAACAGUUACACUAAAAAAUGAACUCCUUGACUAUUUCAUAUGGUUGGUGGCUUGUGCCUUACACAAAACAAUCUACAAAAACAGUAAGUCUUAUACAAUAAGUGUUGGAAAAUCGAAAGUAAAUUUAUCCCAUAUUUGGUUUGAGAUAUUAGCUAAUCCCAACAUAAUUCUAUACCACCAUUCAUACCAAAAAGGUGUGAUAAUAUCGUGAGAUAUCCUUCCUUAUCACAUCCGGCAUACUAAAGUAAGCCUGGCAUAUAUUAACGGAAAGCGAAAGUUCAUUGUUAACUUUAACAACUACACUUAAAAGAAAACUCUUUGACUAUUUCACAUGAUUAGCAGCCUAUGCCUGACACAAAAUAAUGUAUAGAAAUAGAAAGUGUUAUACAAUAGGUGUUAAAUACCCAUUCUCUCUAACAACCAACAUAAUUAUUAUUAUUUGUUUUUAGUAAUCUCAACAAUUGACAUAGCUUUACAUUCUUUGUUUGUUAUGUCUAGUAUCAAUUUCACUUGAACACUUUUUGUUUACCAAACAAAAAUACACAAGUCUAGGUUGCACAAUACAUACAGCAGUACACUUCAAAUAAGUAAAAUGGGAAAAUUAAAAGUAACAUUAUCCCAUAUUUGGUUUGAGAUAUUAGCUAAUCUCGGGAUAAUUUUAUGCCACCAUUCGUACAAGAAAGGUAUGAUGAUAUUGUUCCUUAUCAUAUCUCACAUACCAAAAUAAGUCCUAUAAUGAGAUUCAAGCAGUGAAACUACAAAAACCAUGGUCACAAAUGAAAUCCAGCAAUAAAAGUUGUUUAAACUCAGAAGAACAAAACUCACCAGCAAAAUUCGACAAAGAAAACAAAUCAAUCGUAUUCAAGUAUUGCAAUUUGUAUCAACCACCAAGACUCUUAAAGAGAAACUCACAAACAAAAUUAAGGAACCAAAAAAAAAAGCAAGUUUGUUCAACUACAGCAAUUUCUAGCAACCGCGAAGACUCCCAAAGCAAAAGCAUGAGCAAAAUUUAGCAAUAACAGUUAAUCACCUCUUCGAAAAUAAAAUCCACCAUUAAAAAUUAGAAGUAAAAGUUAUUCAACUGUCAGAAAAAAAGGCCGACAAUAAAAUUCAACUAAAAAGAUGCCCUUAACACUCAAAAAAUAGAAGCAACCCUACCUAAAGCAGAAAUCUCCCAAAAUUAAAAGAAAAGGACCUAACACUAACCCUAAUUGAGCAGCCAAUAUCUUAAAACUAUAAGAAAGGGGAUUUAAAAAAGUGUGUCAAAUAAAACACAUUAGUACCUCAAUUGUGAAGAACUAGUCAAAAUUCCCAAAGAAAUUGAAUUUUUCACAAAAUAAACGGUAAUUUUAGUAACCCAUACAAACCCCAAUUCCUUAAAAUAAAUAAACUUUAUCACAAUGAAUGAAAUUUGUAUAAUCCAAAAUCCAAAAUGGAAGAUACCCGGCACAGAGAAGGAACACCAACAGUAAAUUUGUUUUUGUUUUGUUAAUUGGUGUUUUUACAUGCUUAUUAAUGAAGACGGUGAAGAAGACAACAUAGAAUUGAGAAAGAGAAUAAAAUGGCAUGUAUUUGAUACCAUACAUGUAACAAAGCAGUACAAACUUAUCAGCAUUUUGCAUGAAAUGAUAAAAUUACCCUCAAACAAAUUCCUUUUGUCACCAAGCACAUAUGUCAAAACCCUUCCUUAUAUAAUCUUCUAAAGUGAUUACUUGAAGUCCUUAUUUAUGCCCAUGUGUUUUGACUCCUACAUUGUGAUUUAAUUUCUAUACUCACGACUAUUUUGUAUAAAGUAUAAUUUAUUUUGGGUUGUUCUACAUGCCAAUAUAUUUUCUGUAUUGACUAUACUCAGGUGGCUGUAUCAUCUCAUGAUGUAGGUUCGGAGGAAUAUUUUCACAAUUUGGAGCAACAUCUUGGUCUGACAUUACUCGAGUUGGUGCGUCCUUCAUCUUUCAGGAGGUGAUUUAUUUAGACAUUCAGUACUUUAUGUUUUUAUAGUAUUGUCAAGGCCUUGUUCCGUCCUAGAUAAUUAGCCAUGGUUAGAUGCUUUGUAGACUGGGUUUGACAGAUAUUUUGUUCUAAUGUUAUAUUAAAAGUCUGGUAUUUCCAUAUUUAUUUAGUUUACAGACUUCUUGAAUUUUAUUACAUUUUCGCACUUCAGUAUAGAAUAUGCUUAUGAUAGAAUAUUAAGGGGUCUUCUUGGACCUAUGUGGUUUGAAAUGCCCAUCGCGGUUGGAGCCUCAGCUCAGGUCGUGAUAGGUCUGGGGGGGUAGAGUAUAUAUAGACCUUAAUAUUACCUUAUAUAGGUAGAGAGGCUAUUUUAAAAAGAUCACCGGCUCAAGUUUAGCAAACCCAAGUACAAAGAAGAAAGAAAAGUGAAGAAAACAUAGCAACUAAUAAAGAAAGUAGUGCAAAGCCUUAAAAAAGACAAGAAUAAUAAUAAAAUAGUGUGAUAAUCAAAUAUAAUAGACAACAUAUGAUGAUAGAUACCAAAAUCACGAACUACGAUAAUACGAUUGGUACAACAACAAACACCAAUAAGCCUAGAUCCUCAAAAAGCAAGACAACAUUCUACUACCUCAUAAUUUUAUUUUAAUAAACAACCUAUUGGCUCUUUGAUAUUUUUUACAAAAAUAAUACUCUAUUACCCUACUAUCCUUCUACCAUAAUAUGUGAGUGGGUCAUCAUGUUUUUGAUGGGACUGAUUCAGGUCGAUAACGAUCGCGACCACACCCUUGUGUGUAUGAAGAAGAAUAUAGACCUGGACAGUAUUUACUUCUUGUUUUGAUCCAGAACACCAUAAUUUUAUUUUUGAAGCUUUAAAAUAUGAUUUUGAGAGAUUUUAAAGGGAAUUCUCAAGUUUUGAAAAUUGAAUAAGCUUCUAAACUAAUAUUUUAUCAAUUGUAAAUGAUUAUGUCACGAUUCUAUCAUCAAAUCUUGAUUUUCAACUUAAAACUUAAAUUUUUUUUGGUUAAGUUAAAAAGAUGGAUAAAUUGAUUAUUUCAAGGUCAUUUUCAACUCCAUUUUUGAUGAAAUUUUAUAUUUGAACUUCUUAAGUUAUGGAUAAAUUAAUUUUUCACUAACAUUGUUUCCCUUAUAUGCCUGGGGCUGACUUUAAGAUGACUUUUUGAACUCAUACGUACAGCAAUAUGGGUGUCCUUAUUUUCGUAUUGUUAUGUAGUAUCCAUAUUUGAAUAGAUUUGUCUUGUUUGGAGGUUCCUCGAAAAGAAAAUGCGUCAAUUUGACUCUGUGGGUCUUUUUUAACUCAAGUUGAGACUUUUUUUUACUAUUUUUCAAAGUGCUUAUUUGUUAGUUGCUUGUAUUGGGACUAAUGCAAAUGGAGUACCGAUAGCUGAGGUAACAAACAUAUAUGUAGGGACCGUUAUUUUGUAAGGGACUAAAAUUAAAUUUAAUGACUUGAUUUAGAUAAUUUCCUAUUCUUGAUUGUUGGAUUGUGUUGUGAAAAGUAGAUAGUGGUUAUAUUGAACUUGAUAGGCGUUGGCAAUGAUGGUUAUCUCUUUAUGAGCAAUAUUUGAACUCUUUGAGCUACAUUGAUUAAUCUGGGCUUGUAGUCAAUAUUGUUGAGUUGGCUAUAGCCUUGUGAGCCCAGAUUUGAGAUAUUAUAUCGUUUCUUAUUAUCAUAUUACAUGCAUGCUAACUCAUAUUUAUAUCAUAGCACUAUGAAAUUAAUACUUUAAGAAUGGUUGAUUUAAGAAGCAUGGCAUGCCCUAUGGAAAAGUGUUUAGGGUGAAUUUUAUUUAUUUAUAACUUGCAUGUCUGAUGAAAAAGUAUUUUAUUUGAUUUUACUGAUUUUUAUUUGUAUGUCCAAUGGAAAAGUAUUUCGAUGGAUCUUACUGAUUUUUGCUUGCAUGCCCAAUAGAACAUUGUUAAGGGUGGCCCAAUCAAAAAUAAUUCUAGAUAAAUUCAUUAAUUUGCAUGCCCAAUGGAAAAUUAUUUUGAAUAGGUAUAUGAACCACGUGAGUCCCCCAUGAAUUGCGGCUAGCCAAUAGAAUAUUGGGUGUACACUGUCAUAUAUUGCAUCAUAUUACAUUCAUCAUUCCAUAGAUUGAUUUUGUUAUGAUUAAAUAUUCUAAUUUGUAGUUGUAGGUAUCGUAUUGGAUUGGGGAAUUAUGGACUUGGAACUGUGUUUCUUCUCUAUUAUUAUUGUUAUUUAUUAAACUAGGUGUGGCUUUCCUAAUUGCAGAUUGAUGAUUGUAUUGAAUGGUUAGUUUGGAUGGCUCCUAUUGUCACUUUGAAUUAAGAUCGAUCGAUCUGCUGCUAAGACAAGUGGUUAUGUACGCACCUUUAUUUAUUUUCUGCACCUUACAUACAAGUACUGAGUCGGUGGUCUCUAACAUUGAUUCGAUGUUAUGUUGGUAAUUUUUUUUGAGAUUUUGAGGUAGCAAUUGUUGAAUUCAGUUAUUCGAAGAUUCUCUUGUAUCUUAGUCUUUUGUUAUUAUUCACAUUAUAAACACUUUUGGACUAUUUCAUUGUAAUUCUACUCUUAAAAACUUGUACUAGUGACUACCAGGUCUGAGAUGUUGAUAUAAACCUUAUUACCUCUCAUUUUUACAUGUUUAUAAUUUAUCUUGGGUUUACCUUUAUCUUUAUUCUUUCAGCUUCUUGAUUAUUUCAGUUUCGUGUGUUGGAUUAGGGUUAGACCUAGUAACAUGGUAGGUGUUAUCAUGAUCGAGUUUUAGAUCGAGACACUAACAUAUAAUAACAAUAUAUAAAUGACGCUUACAUGAAUAGGAGAUCAAAUAUUUGGGAGACCAUGAUUUUCAACUUGAUGAAUGAAUAACUCAAUAGUAAUUUGCAAGGAAAUAAAGGUGUAGACAUCACGUGAAUACUAUAAGUGUCAUAACCUAGGAAUUUGUCUUUUAUUGUGUUAACCAAUGUUCAUUAGUUAUUUUCUUUUUUAAAUAUAUAUAUUUUUAUCACUCGCAUAGAAACCUUGAGAUUUAAUAGGUUGAACAAAUAACUAGAACUAGUUUAUUUCAGCAAACAGUUAAUCAUAAGUCCCUAUGGAUUCGACAUCCGAUUAUUUGCAAUCAUUAUAUAACCACAUAUAUUUGCAUGUAUAUUUGGGAGAAACAACCACCUAUUUCAUCACAAUUAUCACCACUAUUGUCAACCAUUCUUUCCAUCUUCAACCACCAACUGCCACCACCAACCAUCUCUGCCAUCACAAUCAUCAUUGACAUCCACCAUCAUUGUGAACCACUAAUGUCAGUCGCUAACACACCUAUCACCUUCAUCAUUAUAAUUUAUAUUCAUUGUUACCAUUUUUUUAUCACAAUCGCCGCCACCUCUACCACCACUAUGAUCGAUCCCCACUGUCAAAUACCUCUAUUUUUACAACUAGCACUGUCGUCAACUACUACUAACACAUCGCCAACCACCACAGAUUCUUCAGUCACCUCCAUCAACACCACUGAUUAUUAAUAUUGUUAUUUUUAAUGUUUUCGAGUACAAGAAUUUGUAUUUAGGCACACAACAACUUCAACACAAGUUCAAGUCUAAAAACAAGAACACCUAUGAAGUUACACAACACCUUCAACACAAGAUUAUAAAUAAUAUAUCUAAGAAAUGUGUUAUAGUUUUAGAAAUAAGAUGACACAAAAAUUUAAAGCCAAGUCCCACGACUUCACAAAGUGUCCUUAAGGAAUAAUUCCCCUCACUAUACCCAAGGUUAUGGAAUUUUCCUCCCAGGAUAAAAAUGGCUUUCAAUCCAACAAUAGUGGUACCUCAAAUUAUUGGAUUCAUCGAAAUCGCUCAACGGCUAAUGAUCACAAUGAGUAUUUGUAGAGAAGAAGAGUGUUUUUACUAUCAAAAAUCAUGUGUAUACCUAAGGAAUAUGUCAGGUAUUUAUAGACUUAGUGUGCACCUUCGAAAAAGAAGCAUUGGUUCAGCAAAAAUGCACCUAUUCAGUACAGUGAUGUUACCUGCGCCCAGUCUGUGCUGAAACUACGCCUGAUCUACAGCCGCAAGUGACACUUUCUGAAUUCCAGUGACUACCUGCACCCACAGGUUAUCGAGGUGCGCGCGUAGAUCACCCUAUUAUGCGAAACAAUGUGCAUUUUACCUCGAAGGGUCGCAUCCCUUCGAGGUGUAUUGUGCAUGCAUUUCCAUGGCAUUCAAAAUGCACCCGCACAUGGAGAAAAAUAUUUCUAUCAGAUUCUUUGGAUUAAAAUUCACUUUUUCAUCAAGUUUCAAAUAAAUUUUGUCUAAAAAAUAGAUCUCAUAGAUCAUUUAACAAAUCCAAAUCCAAAUCUGAAGCCGAAGCUGAAGCCGAGCGAGCAACGACGAUGAAUGCAUGAGGUACCACCUUGUUCUUGCCUCACUAUCCAUGUGGAUAUGUGUUUUUCAAUAUAAACAAAUGAAAGCUUCUUUGUCCCACCAAUGUGGGAAAAUUUAGUAAGCUUUCCAUAAAAGAGUACACUUUCCAUUUUAGUGUCUCUCCUUCUCUCCAUUAUUUUUCCCUCCAUUUUCCAUUCAUACAUACAUAUUGAACCCAAUAAUUCCCUAUAUGAAUAGGGAAUGGAUAUCUUCUAAAGAAUAUACGGACAAGCAUGUGAUCAUUUAGCAAAGACUGAUUACAUCUGGUUAAGUGGGUUUCCCUUUGAACUUUUCGUAGUGAACAUGCAUCGGAUGUACUCGGUCAAUUAGUAGAUUUGAUAUCUUUAAACCGUCAAACUUUAAUGUACACCUAGACAAUACAUGUCACACAACUAGCUUUUGACCAUUUAUUGUUCUCACGAUUUUGUUCUUUUCAGCCAUGAACACGUCCUGGUUUCAUGAGAACUUAGUGAAUAGGCUUUUACUAAUAUUCUCCUUGAAGUGGCUUCUAUUUCACCCUCACAUAGGUGAUUUAUAAAUGUUCAAUCCUAUAAAUUAAACUAUUUGGUCAAAUUUACCAAAUUUAGAUAAUCACUAAAAGACUUUUCACCUUAAGUCUUAUCCCUAUUUACUAAACAUUGUCUACAUCAUGAGAAUAGGUUGGUAUAUUGACAAUGUUGAACCUGCCAGACACAAAUUUGUUUUAUCUCCUUGAACCUAGCUCUUGGGAUCUCCAGUCUGAUAGGUAGAGUUACCACCAUGCUGACUUGUUUUAGGCCUUAAACCCAUUCCCUUGGAUGUCCUCUCAACUCCUUCUCUAGAUAGUCCUUUUAGAAGUGGAUCCGACAUAUUAUCCUUUGACUUUACACAGUCAAUAGUGAUAAUUCCACUAGAGAGAAGUUCUCUAACGGUAUUAUGUCUCCAUCUUAUGUGAUAAAAUUUACCAUUGCACAUCAUGCUCCCUGCCCUACCUAUUGCCACUUAGCUAUCACAGUGUAUACAUACUGGUGCCACUGGUUUGUGCCAAUAAGAAAUAUCUUUCAAGAAAUUUUAGAGCCAUUUUGCUUCUUCACCGACUUUAUCUAAUGUGAUAAAUUCAUAUUUCAUUGUAGAGCGAGCAAUACAUGUCUGUUUGGAUGAUUUAUAAGAGACCGCUCCUCCACCGAUAGUAAAUAUAUAUCCACUUGUGAAUUUUACUUCGUUCGAUCCGGUGAACCAAUUUGCAUCACUAUAUCAUUCAAGUACCGCGGGAUAUUUAUUAUAAUGCAAAGCAUAGUCUUGAGUAGGGGUGUUCGUAGUUUGGUUUUUAACCAAACCGAACCGCGAUCCAAACCAAACCGAUUAAAAACUGAUAUUUGGUUAGGUUUGGUUUGGUUUUGAAUUUUUAAAAAAUGAUACUAAUUCGGUUUGGUUUGGUUUUACUCUAAAAUAAUCGAAAAAAUAAUCAAACAGAACCGAUAUAUAUAUAUAUAUAUAUUAUAAUUAUUUAUAUAUUAUUCAUAAAUUCAAUAUAAAUGUUUAUUAAAUUUUAUAGUUUAAUCAUGAUUUAACUUUAGUCGUAACACGUUCAGUCAUAUGUCUUCAUCCAGUUGACAGUACCUUAUGAGAUUCUAAAUGAAUUUGGAACUUUGAAUGACAAACGAUACUAAUUGCGAAAAUAAUAUGUUGUAUACUGAAAUUUACAGCUAAGAUUCAUUAGACUGUAGACAAUCACUAAUUUUAACUUUCUUUUUGAACCUUGUUGAGCAAGAAGUUUAUGUGUUCACCUUUUGGGGGUUUAUUAUAUCAUUAUAUUAAAUAUAGUUUUUAAAUAUUUUUUUAAAAACGUUCAUAUGGUGUUGUUCAUGAUUUUGCCAAAGUACAACACUUAGAUGACAUCUUAGUUUCAAGGUUCAAAUACAACACUCGGUUGAUAUCUCAUAUGUUAGAUUGGAUUUGUUUUUUAAAUUUUCAACUUUUAUCAUUAGCUAAAAUUAUAAACCAAACAAAUCGAACCGAACUGAACUAAACCUAUAAGAACUAAAUCGACGAUUAUUUUUUUAUUUGGUUUGAUUUGGUUUUAGAAAUUUAAAAACGACUCAGUUGGUUUGGUUAUGGAUUUGACCAAUAACUGACCCAAACUGACCCAUGAACACCUCUAGUCUUGAGUGUAUUUAAGAUACCCCAAAACUCUUUUCAUUGCUAUCCAAUGAGUUUUGUUGGGAUUACUUGUAUACCGACUCAACUUACUAAUAGUGCAUACUAUAUCUGGUUGUGUACAAUUCAUUAUAUACUUUAAACAUCCCAAUACUUUUGUGUACUCCAAUUGUGAGUCACUUUCACCUUCAUUCUUUUAAAGUAUGAAGCUCACAUCCAAUGGAGUCUUAGAAAUACCAAAUUCCAUAUACUUGAAUUUGUUAAGUACUUUUUUGAUGUAGUGAGACUAUAACAAUGUCAAUCCUUAGGUAGUUCUAUGGAUUCUUAUUUCUAAGAUCACAUCCACAACUCCAAGGUCUUUCAUAUAAAACUUUCUCUUAAGCAUUCAUUUUGGAGAAUUUAUGUCUUAAAUAUCUCUACUGAUGAUCAAUAUAUCAUCCACAUAUAAACAAAUAAUGACUUGGUGAUUUGGAGUGUCUUUAAUAUAAACACAUUUAUCACAUUUAUUAAUUUUGAAUCUGGUUGCCAACAUGGUUUGGACAAACUUAUGGGUCUUCUAUUGUAACAGAUUAGUCAUAUGUUGCAACAGAUUACUCACUUAUUGCAACAAAUGACUCAUAUAUUGGAUUCAUGUUGCAGGUUCUAUCCAUUGUAGCAGUAGCAGAUAUACCAAAUAAAAAAUUCAAUAAAAAUCAUAAUUAUACUUACAAAAUCACAUAUGAAGUAAUGUCUAAGUGAUAUACGAACUAAAUUUGACCUAAAAAAUCCAAAAAUUUCAACAAGGGCACAACGAAUAAGUGAAACAUAUGAAAAAUUUCAUGAAACAGGUAAAGAAGACAAAAAUAGUGUAUCAUACAUUAAAUGCAAAAGGAUCAAGGGGACAAACGUUUGAUUUCUCCUAAAAACAUUUAAGUUCCCUAGUAUUUUAAUUGUUUUCUAAUGGAUGACUCAUCUAUUAUAACAGAUUUUCUAUCUGUUUGCUAAUUUUCAACAGAUGAAUCAUCUGUUGCAACAUGUUAGUCAUUUGUUGAUUCAAAUUAAGCAAUUAUUAGUAAUAAUUAAAUUGAUUUAGCUAAAAUUAAAGACAAGUCUUUAAGACAAUGGGACAAACAUUUGAGUUCUCCUAAAAAUGUUUGAGUUUCCUAGUAUUUUAAUUAUUUUCCAACAGAUCACCUAUUUGUUGCAACAUGUUAGUCAUCUGUUGCAAUAAAUGUUUAUAACAGAUUAGUCAUUUGUUGAUUCAAAUUAAGCAAUUAUUAAUAAUAAUUAAAUUAAUUUAACUAAAAUUGAAGACAAAACCUUAGACAAGGGGAAAAACAUUUGGGUUCUCCUAAAAAAUAUUUGAGCUUUAGUAUUUUAAAUUAUUUUUCAACACAUAUUUUGUCUAUUUAGUAAUUUCCAAUAGAUGAGUCAUAUGGUGCAGUAACUUAGUCAUCUGUUGCAACAAAUGUCUAUAUCUGUUUGAUAAUUUUCAAUAGAUGAAUUAGUUGUUGCAACAAGUGAGUCAUUUGUUGCAACAGAUGUCUAUAUUUGUUUGGUUAUUUUCAACAGAUGUUUUUAUUUGUUUGAUCAUUUCCAACAGACUACUCAUCUAUUGUAACAUGUUAGUCAUCUAUUAAUUCACUUUAAGUCAUUAUUAGUAAUAACUACAUUGAUUACUAAAAUAAAUAUGAAUUAAUAAGUUCAAUUACAGUUUCAAUUAAUCUCAUAGUAAUUACCCGAUCAACUAAGUAUGUUCGUCGUGAGUAGAGUAAUCAAUUGACCAAUUUUAUUUGAAAUGAUUCAGACUAAGUCAUCAUUAGAAAUAACUAUAUUGAUUUAACUAAAAUUAAAGAUGAAAUAGUAAGUUCAAUUAUGAUUUCAAUUAAUCUCAUAGUAAUUACAUAAUCAAUUAAGUGUUUCAUACUGAGUAGAAUGAUUAAUUGACCAAUUUUAUGUGAAAUAAUUCAAAUUAAACCACUAAUAGAAAUAACUAUAUUGAUUUAACUAAAAUUAAAGAUAAAUUAGUAUGUUCAAUUACGAUUUCAAUUAAUCUCAGUAAUUAAUGAUCAAUUAAGUGUUUCAUCCUUAGUGGAAUAAUUAAUUGACCAAUUUUAUUUUAAAUCGUUCAAAUUAAGUCAUUAUUAGAAAUAACUAUGUUAAUUUAACUAAAAUUAAACAUGAAUUAAUGAGUUCACUUACAAUUUCAAUUAAUCUCAUCGUAAUUACAUGAUUAACUAAGUGUAUUCGUCUCGAGUAGAGUGAUCAAUCAACCAAUUUUAUUUGAAACAAUUCAAAUUAAGUCAUUAUUAGUAAUAACCAAAUUGAUUUAACUAAAAUUAAAGAUAAACUUGCAAUUUCAAUUAAUCUAUUAGUAAUUAAAUGAUCAACUAAGUGUAUUCGUCAUGAGUAGAGUGAUCAAUCAACCAAUUUUAUUUGAAACAAUUCAAAUUAAGUCAUUAUUAGUAAUAACUAAAUUGAUUUUGACUAAAUUAAAGAUGAAUUGAUAAGUUCACUUAUAAUUUUAAUUAAUCUCAUAGUAAUUACAUGAUCAACUAUGUGUAUUCGUCUCGGAGAAAAUGAUCAAUCGACCAAUUUUAUUUGAAAUGAUUCAAAUUAAGUCAUUAUUAGUAAUAACUAAAUUAAUUUUGACUAAAUUAAAGAUGAAUUGAUAAGUCCACUUACAAUUUCAAUUAAUGUAUUCGUCCUUAAUAGAAUGAUCAAUUGAUAAAUUUUAUUUAAAAUGAUUCAAAUUAAGCAAUUAUUAGUAAUAACUAAAUUGAUUUAACUAAAAUUAAAGAUAAGACCUUAGACAAGGAGAUAAACAUUUGAGUUCUCUUAAAAAUAUCUGAGCUUUAGUAUUUUAAAUUAUUUUUCAACAUAUAUCCUAUAUGUUUGAUGAUUUUCAACAGAUGAGUCAUCUGCUGCAACAACUUAGUCAUCUGUUGCAAUAGAUAUCUAUAUUUAUUUGAUAAUUUUCGAUAGAUGAGUCAUUUAUUGCAACAGGUUAGUCAUCUGUUGCAACAUAUGUCUAUAUUUGUUUGGUCAUUUCCAACAGAUGUCUUUGUCUGUGGAGUCAUUUUCAACAGAUUACUCAUCUUNNNNNNNNNNNNNNNNNNNNNNNNNNNNNNNNNNNNNNNNNNNNNNNNNNNNNNNNNNNNNNNNNNNNNNNNNNNNNNNNNNNNNNNNNNNNNNNNNNNNNNNNNNNNNNNNNNNNNNNNNNNNNNNNNNNNNNNNNNNNNNNNNNNNNNNNNNNNNNNNNNNNNNNNNNNNNNNNNNNNNNNNNNNNNNNNNNNNNNNNNNNNNNNNNNNNNNNNNNNNNNNNNNNNNNNNNNNNNNNNNNNNNNNNNNNNNNNNNNNNNNNNNNNNNNNNNNNNNNNNNNNNNNNNNNNNNNNNNNNNNNNNNNNNNNNNNNNNNNNNNNNNNNNNNNNNNNNNNNAUUGAUUUAACUAAAAUUAAAUAUGAAUUAGUAAGUUGACUUACAAUUUUAAUUAAUUUUAUAGUAAUUACAUGAUCAACUAAGUGUUUGUCUUAAGUAGAAUGAUCAAUUGAUCAAUUUUAUUUGAAAUAAUUAAAAUCAAGCAAUUAUAGUAAUAAUUAAAUUAAUUUAAAUAAAAUUAAAGAUGAAUUGAUAAUUUUAAUUACGACUUUAAUUAAUCUCAUAGUAAAUACAUGAUCAUCAAAGUGUAUUCCUCUUGAGUAAAGUGUUAAUUGACCAAUUUUAUUUGAAAUGAUUCAAAUUAAGCCAUUAUUAGUAAUAGCUAAAUUGAUUUAAUAAUUACAAUUUCAGUUAAUCUCAUAGUAAAUACAUGAUCAUCAAAGUGUAUUCCUCUUGAGUAAAGUGUUAAUUGACCAAUUUUAUUUGAAAUGAUUCAAAUUAAGCCAUUAUUAGUAAUAGCUAAAUUGAUUUAAUAAUUACAAUUUCAGUUAAUCUCAUAGUAAUUACAUGAUCAUUUAAGUGUAACCUAUUUCAACAGAUAAAUCUGUUGCAACAGAUGAGUUAUUUGUUGAAAAUUAUCAAACAGAUAUAUACAUAUAUUGCAAUAGAUUAGUCAUCUGUUAUAACAAAUGUCUUUAUCUGUUGGUUAUUUCCAAUAGAUGACCAAUCUUUUGCAACAUAUGACUUUAUCUGUUUGUUAUUUCCAACAGAUUACUCAUCUGUUGCAAUAGAUGACUAAUCUGUUGCAACAGAUGUCUUUAUCUAUUUGGUCAUUUUCAAUAGAUUACUCAUCUUUUGCAACAUCUUAGUCAUCUAUUGAUUCAUAUUAAACCAUUAUAUUAGUAAUAACUAAACUAAUUUAACUAGUAUUAAUAAGUUCAAUUACUGUUUCAAUUAAUCUCGUGGUAAUUAUAUGAUCAACUAAGUGUAUUCAUCCUGAGUAGAGAGAUCAACUGACCAAUUUUAUUUGAAAUGAUACAAAAUAACCAUAAUUAGAAAUGACCAUAUUGAUUUAACUAAAAUUAAAGAUGAAUUAAUAAUUUAAUUACAAUUUCAAUUAAUCUCAUAGUAAUUACAUGAUUAUCUAAGUGUAUUUGUCUUGAGUAAAGUGAUAAUUGACCAAUUUUAUUUUAAAUGAUUCAAAUUAAUACAUUAUUAGUAAUAACAACAUUGAUUUAACUAAAAUUAAAUAUGAAUUGAUAAGUUUACUUACGAUUUCAAUUAUUCUCAUAUUAAUUACAAGAUCAUCUUAGUGUGUUAAUUACUUUAUCGUGUAGCCAAACCUUAAAUUAAAAAUAAAACAAUGGACCUUUAUUUGAUCGCGUAGAAUCCCCAUGUAAAGUAUGAAUUUGGUCUGGAACCACCUUCAUGGACCUCGAAAGGUGCCUAACACCUUCAUUUCAAGGUAAUUUGAACCCUUAUCCGAACUUUGGUGAACUAAGACUAAACAACAAAAUAGAUUCGUAGUAGCCUAGACCGGUGCCCUAAAGCACCUUAAUACGUUAGGUGGUGAUUCUUUCUUAAUGCAUCUCAAAAAGAGUUUGUCACGUCAAAUCCUGCCUUCUGCGAGAAAAAUGGGGCACAACAGAAUGACGACUCUGUUUGACACCUUGAUUUAUUUUUCCACUUGUUAACCCUUCUCCUUCCCCUUUUAUGUGUUUUCAUACUUGUCCAUGCCUAUCCUUUCCUCUUUUCUCCCUUUUAUUUGCUAUAUGUUUUGAUAUUUAUUUGUUUUUAUGUUGCUAAGCAUGUUAUUAUAUUUUGCUAUGUGCUACGUUUUACUGUCUUUUAUAGCUGAUAUUCUGCUUAUACCUUUCUCCACUUGGAAACUUCUUUUGUUUUGUUUUAUGAACGGUUGCGUGAAUACACAGACGUUUUUUCCUAAAACACCCUUUGAGAAAUGCCUUGUGGAUCGGUCGAUCAGUGGUGUGUUGGCAGCCACAAGCUUUCCCACUCUGGAGUUGUACACUCGGGGAAACCAUGUCAUAAACCCACUCUUGUACUUUAGGUCAUGGCUACAUAUUUCUUUCGCUGAGGAAUAUGCGUCCCAUUCAAUGUAGGAUGCCUUGGCAUUCUUGGCGCGUUGAAUGUUAGUCUCAUUCAAAGUCCAAAAAGGCUUACGACCUCAAAAGUACUCACAAUUAUUUGCUAUGUGUUGCAUUUCUAUGUAUGUAUUGACAUCUCGUCUAUCUUGUUGUUUUCAUUCUUGCCUUAGUCACUCCUUACAUUUAGUGUUCCUCACUUUAGAGCUUGUUACUCUUAAAACUCUUAUUAUGUUAGGAACUUACAAUACACUCUUAGGGUCUAUGCAAAACUUUCCUUCAAUUACCCCCUGACUCAUCCAUUAGUACGUUAAUUCCCCCUAGGUCCAACUCUCGCUUUGAUAAAGAGCUUCGGUCUCAUUCACAAUCUCUUAGUGCAACUUAUCAUUUUAGGAUAUCCUCUUCCUAAUGCUUCUAACUUUACAUACUAUUGUCCUACCACGAUUCUCGGACAUUAAUAUCAUUAUAUUUGUGUCGUACAUUAGCUUUCACAACCUCUAAGUUACAUAAAGCUCCGAAUGAGCAUAACUCAUUAUUUUCAAAUAAGUAGAAUAUUCAUUCUAGACUCCCGUGCGUACUCUUUGUUUCUAAUUAUAAGUCCUUUCUUCUAAGGUUGACUAAAGUUGAACAUCAGAAAUGGCCAGUCAAGCAAUGUUUAUCGACCUUGUCAAUAGCGACGAUGAGCAUGAGAAGUUGGGAUUGCGUCAAAACGAAGUUAUUUCGAACAUCAGAAGGAUAGAAGGGAAAAUAGAGAGAAUUAAGUAGAUAAUGACUAAUCUCCGAGGUUCAGUUGAAAUGCCACCAGAUUUUCCAAAGCCAUUAUCCAAAGCUGACUUCAUUGCUCCCACCUACACUAUGUCAUCUCCUAUAUCAAAGACCUCACCCACGCCUGAUUGUGGGGCACAAGUGUCUUCAAGUCGAUAUUUAGUUACACUUCUGAAAGCACUUAAUGUGUUGACAACCAUGGUCAAGGAGAAUGAAAUGAAGGGACGAAUCUCUAAGCAUAAGGCGAAGUCAUCUCAACAACCUGAGAUGAAUAAUUCAUUCAAACCUAAAGAAGAAGACAGGGAUAGAAUUGAGUACUUGAACUUUCAUUAUAUGAUGGGUCAGGAAACCCUCAUUCCCAUUUGGAGGCAUACCUUAACGAACUAGCAGCUAUAGGACAAAGUGAUGGUCUCAAGAAGAAGAUCUUCAUCAGCUCACUUACUGGUCCUGCGUUGAUAUGGCACGCCGAAAAAAAUUCUAGCAAGUGGAUCUCUUGGGAAGAUUUGGCAAUUGACUUUAUUAGGCAAUUCAACAACAAGCUUAAGAAAAAGCCCAUAGCCGAGACUGAUUUGGUUGAGUCACAGUUCAGAGACAAAGGAAGACGAUCAUCAAUGGGACAUCAAAACCUACAAAGUUUGAAGUAAUCAUACCACAACCUCAACUAAUAUGGUACCAAACUCCAGAAAUUGUGCCAUCAUCCAAUUACGUCCAAGCCUAUUAUCCUCAAUCUUUCACAAAACCUCCUCUAUAAACUAUUUGGUACCCACCUCUAUUUAUUGCUCCAAUAUCACACUACCUUCCAAUGUCUUACGAAAAACCACCAACAAAUCAACAAUCCACCAAACAUCAACAUGAGCUCCAGAAAAAUCCACCAAAACAAUACACUCCUCUGGGCGAAUCCAUAGAACAGUUGUAUGAACGACUCAAGGAAGCAGGCUACAUCACGCCCAUUGUUGUCGUACCUUGUGAUCCUAAGUCUCGAUGCUAUCAUCCUUACCAAAUUUGCACCCAUCACUCUGAGAUGAGAGGACAUCUUACUAAGGCGUGCUUUGCUUUGAAGAAUAUGAUCCAAAAGUUGAUCGACACCAAAAUGAUAAACUUGAUGGGGACAACUUUUGAAGCUGAUUAAUUUCUCAAGAUUGACUGGCACUUGUUGACAUUGGUGAAGAAGAUAUCAUAUUGAUUCUCCACUCCAGACUCUCAGACGCUUGAAAUUCCUUCAAGUUUUACAUUUUCAGUUUUCUUUUAUGAAUUUCUCUUAUGUUAUCUGAACUACUAUCGACUUGAUUCCCUGGUGAAUACAUAGGCGUUCAUUUAAUGAGUUCGGUAUCACCAUAAUAAAACUUUUUUUUCGUCUUUAUCAUUUUUUCUUUCGGAGUUGGAUGAAUCAACUAUAUGAUAUGAAUCAACGAAUUUGAUGUUCAACAAAAGUAAACCUUGUUCAUUCCCUCUAUUUUUAUCUUCUUUACAAUUGUAAUUUCAAUUUCAAACUCAUGCUCUAUCAAUGUCCUAUUUCGUGCGUCGGGAGCUCAAAUCUUUAUGCCUAGAAUGCUUAUUAAGGUUGUCUUCAUCCUAGAAUGCCUUGUUUUAUAUUUAUUAUAUUUUGAACUUAUUGUGCUAUGUGGUAACUUUCGAUUGGAUUUAUUUAUUUUGUUUUAAGGUUGUCUAGCAUUUGAACAUCGAACUCAAGUCUGCAAUAUGACAAAUAUGCUCAAUAUCCGAAAAGCUUUCAGUCCUCUUUCUCAUCGCCCGAGACAAAACGUUGCGCCUCUUUAUCUUCGCCUUGCCCUCAUGAACUACGUUCAACCUGACUUUCAUUUGGAUACGUAGGCAGCCCACUUUGGGUCCGGUCUUAAUCUAACAAAAUAUUUUCUUUCCCUUUCUUUCAAUUACAUUUGCAAAGUGUCGGGUUAAUAAGCCCAACUCCUGGGCAUAUUAAGGGCAGAUUACGGCUACGAUAUUCAAAUGUAGGACAACUAUUUCUCUUGGACUAACGCUUUCUUUGAAUGGUACAGGAACAUAAGGUUCCACCCAUUAUAAAAUGUUUUAUUAACAUGUUUAUUCUUUCCCGUUCCUUUUACCUUACUAACUUGAUUUUUUUAAUUUUAUUUUUCAUUAUUUUUUUUCUCCCACACCCCAAGGAUUGAUUCAUGCAUUCUCUUGCCCAUUACACCAACUGAAAAAGGGCUCGAUCUCCUUCCCUUAAGGCUCAGUCAUCAAGACAAAGAAAUGGGUGAUAACAACGAAACUAGAAAUGAGCAUGAUGAGAUGAUCGUACAAAUGGAACAAAGAAUUCUUCAACUACAAGGGGAAUUGUCACAAGCCCGUAACUUGUCUAAUUUACCCCUUGCUUUGAAUGCUCUUCUCUAACCCCAAGUUGAGGGUAACACUGUUGUCAAAUCUAAUGCCAUAUUCAUAAGCCAUUCUUUACCACCGCUUCCUAUUUCACAACCCCCAAACAAUUCAAGCCACAUAUACACGCUGCCUAAAUAUAACUCACAUCCACAUUCUUGUCCACUGCAAUGUCACACAUAUCCAGCUCCAUUAAAUUAUCAAACAACAUCAUAUGACCAUAAUACACCGCCAAUGUUUACCACAAAUACUCCUCAUCCAAUCAGCCAUACUUUAGAUCCAAGUUAUGUCAAAAUGACCCCAUUUACCCACCAUCAAUAUAAAUCCAAACCUCCGGCAAACGCCACCCUUAUGCAAUCCGUGGUUGAAAAAUUGGAACAACUUGAAGGCAAUAAGGGGUUGAAUGGGCUAAGUUACGAGGAUUUGUGCAUAUACCCUUAUGUUGAACUGUCGGAGGGGUACAAAUCUCCUAGAUUUGAAUUGUACAAUAGGACUGGAGAUCCGAAAGUUCACUUGAAAUUAUACUGUGACAAGUUAGCAGGAGUCGGUAAAAAUAAGCAAAUUCUUAUAAAAUUAUUUAUGAGGAGCCUUAUCAUGGUAUGUCACACAAGAUGAAACAAAAUGGUCAAAAUAGACCGACAUGGCCUCUGAUUUCAUAGAAAGAUUUAGGUUUAAUGUUGAGAAUGCGCCUGAUUGGUUAUAUAUUCAGAAGUUAAAAUAAAGCCUACAGAAUCAUUUCGAGAAUAUGGAAUGAGAUGGAUACGUGAAGCUUUUAAAGUGCGCCCUUCUUUAGAUGAAAAUCAAAUGAAAGAAUUCUUCAUUCGUUCCCAAGAGCCACAAUAUUAUAAAAGGAUGAUUAUUAUAGAGGAUCGAAAGCUUGUUGACAUCAUCAAAUUGGGCAAGAGAAUUGAAGAAAGCAUUAAAAAUAACAUGAUAACAAAUUUGGAGGCACUACAAGCGAUAAAGACUUCACAGACUGAAGAGAAUAACAACAUGAAGGAAGUAAAUGUUGUCUUGACCAUGCAAAAUCCCAAAACCCUUCCAAGUUACCAAACACCACAUCCCCCAUUUUAAUACCAAACACCCAUAUAUCAAGCACCUUCAUAUCCAUUUCAACAACCUCCCCACUUCCAAAUACCUCCAACUACCUUUCAACAAACAUUAGCUUAUCAAAAUCCACCAACAACUCUACGACCCAAUUAAUUUGUCAAAACUCGAGCCAAGCAUCUGAAAAAUCAGUCAAGACAGUAUCACGUCGUUUCCUCAUUCCAGGCUCUCAACCACUUGAGUUACUAUAACCUUUACAUAUGCUUGGAAUAAUAUGAAUUUCUCUUAUGUAAUUUAAACUACAUUUAAGAGGGAUACGUAGACGCUCAUUUGGAGUUCGGUCUUAUCAUAAUGAAAUUUUCAUAUUCUCCCGAAGCAUAUAACUGGGAUUUCAAAAAUUCUAUGAUUCUAUAAAUUUAAAACAGACGAGAUCGAGGCCAUAAACUAGGGCAAGAAUUUUUGAGGAAUCCUUAAAAAAUUUCAUCAAGGAUUACAUCUCAAGAAAAUGAUGUAGAUACAAUGGAUCCGGGACCCGAACAAAGGAGCCAGCAGAGGCACGAAUCAAUCUUUUUCCCUUUUUAAAAAAAUUAACAAUUUUUCUUUGAGUGCAGGAAUAGAGUGACGAGUACAAAUCUUGAGUAUGCUAUACACCGUCAGAAGAUAUAAGGUUAAGUAUUGUCGUUCUGUAUUUUGAGUGGGUUAAGCACUACCCUCUCGAGAGAAAUGAUUUAAGGCUAAGCAUUGUCCUCGAAAGGUUAAUUGGGUUAAGCACUACCUUCUCUCACAAAUUUAUUCGAAACUAAGAAUUGUUUUGAAAACUCGAUGGAGUUAAGCACUACUCUAUCUAAAAACUCUCUAAGGCUAAGCACUGUCCUUGGAAAGUCAAGUGGGUUAAGCACUACCCUCUUUCGAGAAAACUGACUAAGGCUAAGCAUUGUCCUUGAAAGUUAGUUGGGUUAAGCACUACCCACUCUCGAGAAAUCAUCUGAACUAAGCAUUGUUUCGAAAACUCGAUGGAGUUAAGUACUACUUUAUCAAGAACUCUCUAAGGCUAAGCAUUGUCCUUGAAAAGUUCAAUAGGUUAAGCACUACCCUAUUUUGAGAAACCGACUGAGGCUAAACAUAUCCUUGAAAGUUAGUUGGGUUAAGCACUACCCGCUCUCGAUAAAUCAUCCGAACUAAGCACAGAUUAGUUAUAUAUGUUGAAACAGAUUACUCAUCUAUUAGAUUCACGUUACAAAUAGUUUCUCGAUAGUUAUCGCCGGAGAAUGUUGUCACGUUGACUGACGGUUGAAAGUAAAAAAGGAAUGGGAAAGAACUCAAAACUAUUUGUUGCCAAAGGUUGAAGUUGCACAAGAUUGAAGGGAGAAAUUUGGAAAGUUUUUGGUUGGGGGAAGUUAGAGAGAGCAACUAUCGAGAGAAAGAGAGAAGAAAGAUUGAUUUGUAGAGAGAGGAAAGUUUUGUGGGUGUGGGUUAACUUGUAUUUUUAAAAAAAUUAAAAAGUUGAAAAAAUAUUAAUCAAGUCCACAAUUAGACUAAUCAAGUUUUUUAAUUAUGUUUAAUCUUUUAAGUUGGUCCAUGUCACUAAACCUUCAUUCAAGACUUAAAAGAUACCUUUCCUUCAAUUUUUUCAAGUUACUACUUGAUAAUCAAGACUCAAAUUUACAAAAAAAAAACUAAUAAUCUGUGAAAUUAAAUAACUUUUGACACCAAAUUCAAACCAAGUAGAGAUGUUGAAAAAUAAAUGAAACUGUUAAUGAACUAGCUAAAUAGCAAUAUUAACCUAAUUUUAUUUUAAUUAAUCACAAUAAAACAAAAAAAAUAUCAAUAUUUAGUCCAUAAUGAACUCCUCAGAAAAAACUCACAUGACACUUAUGGUAUGUUCAAAUCACCACAUCAUCUUCAUCAAACAUAUUUAAUUCCUUACAAAAUUAGUAUUUUAUAUUUUAAUUAUUUAUAUAUUUUAGAAACAUAUUUAAUAUUUAAAUAUCUAUGAUGGUCCAAAUAGACUUGGAGUUCAGACUUUUUUUCUAUUCUUAGUACUUUAUUUUAUUUUUUAAUUAUUUUUUAUUUAGUCCACGGGCCAGCCCAGCCCAUAUUGCUCAAGCCCCAUGAGCCAACGAGCUUAUAUAGGCCGGGCUAAAAAGCUCUUUUCUUAAACGGGCUACAAAAAUCAUAGCCCAACCCUAUUAAUUUACGGGCUGGGUUGGGCCGACCCAAUGAGCCUGGCCCAUAUUAGCGGCUCUACUAAUUAGAAAAUAAAUUUGUAUUGUUCUUGACAUAACUAUAGGAGAAUAAAGCCAAAGAGAAGUGUUUUUUUUAUUGAAGUCUAUGUUACUUCUCGAUCAUCUGGUUAUUUUUGUCUGACCAUUGCCACGAAGGGGCAGGGCUAGGGGUUAAUCUGAACUUUUUCAACAGAAAAUUAAGUUGUUAUGUAUGAUUUUUUUUAUUUAUUUAUGUAUAUAUUGUAGAUGUUCAACUUCUUUGCUUUCUUUAUGUGUUUAUUUCUUCAUAUCUUGAACACCUUAGUAAAAUUACCACUAUUGCCCCACUAUAUUUAAAUAUAAUACAAAGUUGCUCCAUAAGGAUCGAAACUAAUGUAAUAUCCCUCUGUAAUUUAGACAACCAAUCAUUAUUUUUUCUUUUUAGGCCUUUUAUUUACAUUUUUCCUAUUAGAUAUUUGUCUUUUAAAAAAAGAAGUAAUUGUCUUAACUUUUCAAAUAAUGUGAAUCAAUAUAACUCUUUUUUUUAAUAUUUUAAUAUAUCGUUAUUAAAUAUAUGUUUUCCUUCUUCAAAAAGGAAAUGUAAUUAUUUGUAACUCUCAAAUUUAUGUUUGUGGAUAUAACUCUUAACAUUCAUUUUGCGUGAGUUCAUGUAAAUCUUUUCAUUUUUUAACUUCGUUAUAUUAAAAGGUAAGUCUAAAAAACAAAUAAUUAUUAGUACCACAUGCAAUAAAUAUAAUAUGUUUUUUUUUGGUGAAAUAAUGUGUUUUACUAUAUUAUGAUUAAAAAUAAUUAGUCACCAUAUAUCUUGCAAUUUUAAUUUUCAGUAUUAUUUCUUUCUUAUGUUUCUUCAAUUCUAUAGGCAGUAAAAAAAAAAAGUUAAUGACCGCCAUCAAAGUCUAUUAUUGAUGACAACUUCAAAGGUUUUGAUACGAGCAUGUCAUAUAUUAACGUUUGGGGUUGAUAUUUCAGAUACAUUUUAAAAUGUAUUGUUUAUAACUUGAUUUGCUAGAAAACAAAUCAAUGCCCUGAAUCUUUUUUACUUAUUUAUCUUUAUUAUAUCUUUGAAUAUCUUUGGUUAUCUAUUUUUUAAAUUACUUGAAAGUUAGAGAGCAAGUAACAAAAGGGAGAUUUGAAAGUAAGAAAAAAAUGAAAAAAUAGGCUACUAAGAAAGAAAAAUAAUAGGAAGAACAAGAGGAAAAAGGUAAGUUAAAAGAUAGAAAUUAAAAAGCAAAAUGUCUUCAAAAGAUUAAAACAAAAAAGAGAAAUACGAAUAAUAUGUUAAUAAUAAAAUGAAUUAGAAUUUAAGACAAUAUAUAUCUGAAUUUACAGAUUAAUUAUGUUUAAUAAUUGAAUAUUAAUAGGAAUUAUUUAAAUUUCUUGUUACCGAGUGAAAUGUGGUCAAAUUCACUAGUUUUUACAUGAAUUCUAGGAGUGAUAUGUCCCGUGCUAGCACGGGGCAACGUGAAGAAUAUUUUUAAGUUAACUACUAUGUUUUAUAAUAACUUUUACAUAAUUUUUAAAUAAUAUAUGUUACAUCCUUGUCUCAAUUUAUGUGGUAUUGAUAUAAUUUUGAAGGUUAACUUAUUUUUUUACAUAUUAUAAAAAUAUUUUAAAUUAUUAAUUAUUAUAAUUUAUAAUUCUUUUUCUUCUGUCGGGAGGAUCAACACUGAAGUUGAUACCCUCCAAUAGUCUCCCAAUUCUACUAGCAGAAGAGGACCCCACAUCUCCACAUUUUCUUUGUUGAUGACCUUACACUGUUUGCUAGAGCUAAUGUGAAGAAUUGCCACACCAUCAAUAGAACUCUUCAAAGCUUUAGUAAUCAUUCUGGUCAAAGAGUUAACCUAACUAAGUCCAAAGUCUUAUUCUAAAAAAGUUACAGUAGCAACACAGAACAACAACUCUCCACCAUCUUGGGCAUCCAGGCUUCCAACUCCUUUGGAAAGUGCUUGAGUUUCACUAUUUUCCAUAAUGAACAUGUGAUAGAGGACUUUUAGUUCAUAUUGGACAAUAUGAACAACAAACUUGUUGGUUGAAAUACCAGGUUUCUUAACAUGACUGGAAGGACCACCCUGGCCAAAGCUUCUCUAGGCAACAUUUCUAACUAUGUCAUGCAGUAUAUCCACCUGUCUAGCAAAAUUCACUACCACAUUGACAGGAACUAGAGAAAUUUUAUCUGGGGAACCACAAAUAUCAAAAGAAAGAUGGACAUAGUUAUGUGGAAGACUAUUACCAAAACUAAAAGAGAGGGGAGUCUGGGCAUGCAACAGACAUCCAUAAAAAAUGACUCCUCCUUUGCAGCUUUGCUUGGAGAAUGCACUCCAAUCCUUCCUCCCUAUGGGCAAGAGUCCUUACCUCCUAGUACAACCCCUUUAGGGUAGGUCUACUGGCUCUUAUUUUAGAACUUGGCGAAGCCUUCAUAAGAUAUGGAACAUCUGUAAGAUACCAUCCACUAGGCCAUUCAGGAUGUGGCCAAGGUGGAUGCUUAGAAGGACAGGUGGUCCCAGGAAUUCCACCACUAUCUAUCUUCUUUCAAGGACCUCAACCUACCCCUAACCUUUCCCACAAGGUGAAAGACAUAUGAAUGGAAAAAGCUUGGGAUUUCAGUCUUAUUUCUUUUGUUAUCCCUCUUGGGGUAACUUGUAACAUCAAAAAAUCCUUUCUCUCUAGCAAGACUAACAACUUUGAUAUUCCUCUAUGGAGAUUGCAUGGUAAUGACUUAUUCACUUGUAAAAGUACCUACCAUCACAUAAGGACCAUAGACAAUACCAGUGCCACUAGCAACCCCUCUUCAGCUGGAUCUAGCAUAUUAAGAUCCCCAAUAAGGUAAAUUCUUCCUUUGGCUAAUCUAACAUAAUAGCCUUUCAACCAAGACCACUCUCUCCCAAAGGGGAAUCAAUAUCUUUCCGGAUUGUCAAACUUAUGGCUAGGCCUUUGAAAAUCAAUAACAUAUCUUCUUUGAGUGUACCCAUAUCAAAUCCUUCUGGCUAGAACUAAUUCACCAGGCUAGGGAUGACAAACUUCGAGACAUUAACAUGUUCUCCACUGAUAAUUGUGAUAAUACUAGGAGGUCCUUAAGACAUGACUAGUAUAAUAGUUACAUCUCCUGGAACACUUUUUUUCCCCUUUGUCUGUGGCAUAUUUGAAAAACUAGAAAUACAAAUUCUUUCAAUAAUGCAACCUCCACACUAACUUCAAGAAUGCAUACUCUGAGGCCGUGGAGUUUUACCAUUUAUACGUCACUUCUCCUCAAAACAUAAGGAACACUGCCUUUGUUAAAUGGUCACUCCCCCACAAUAACCAUUACAAGCUCAACACUGAUGGCUUUUACAUUAAAAAUUCGAAAAAGGAGGUAUUGAAGGAGUAAUAAAAAACAAUAGAGAAGACUGGGUUAUUAACUUCAACAAAAGCUUUACACAUGUUAUCAAUAACCUCAUAGAGAUGCUUGUUCUCAGAAAAAGGCCUGAAACUUGCUAUUGAGCUUAAUCUUAGGCCUCUAAAAAUCAACAUUAUCUCUAAAAAAGUUAUAAACAUGUUACAAAAAGGUAACUUACUAUAUGAUUCAUUUAUUAUUGAUGGCAGAUCAAUGCUAAGAAGCUUAGGAGGACUGGUUGUCCAACAUAGCUUGAAGGAACAAAACAGGGUUGCUGGCAUGAUGACCAAGAAGGGAGUAACUUUGGAUUUUUUUAACAGGCCCCAUGUUUCUGUAAUACCAACAUCGUUUAUACGCUCAGUUUUUUGGGAAAAUAUAAUUGGAAUCUCUUUCAGUAGAACUGUUUGUAGUAGUAGGAUCUCUAAUGAUCAAUACCGUGCUGUUUAUGUGGUGGAGCCGAACUAAUGCAGCCUUGUACUUAACUUUAUUUACUUAUUGCAUAUCUGGUUUAACAAAAAAAAUCUUUUACAUCUUUUUAGUUAUUCUAAAUUGUUAAUUAUUAUAAUUUCUAAUAUUUUAAUGUAAUUUUCAAAUACAUAACAAAUUAAAAAGAAAAGUAAAAUAAACAAAUAUAAAAAGAAAUAUCCAAGCAGACAACACAAGUAAACAUGUUACCUGCUUAUCAUCUUUUAUAAGCGAGGUAAUAAAUCACAAAUGUCAAUUUAAGUGGCACAAUGCUUAGAUAACCAUAAUAAUUAAUUAGGGGCGAUAUAGUAAAAUCACAAUUGAAGUAACGAAGCAAACCUGUCUUAAAUGACUUAUAACUAAUUAGAAGUGAUAUAGUGAAGCUACUACAAAAAAUAUUUGUAAAAAAAAUUUAAGCAACCCUCGUAUAUGACGUCAAGUUAAUUUAAAAGAUCAAGAUUUAAUUUAUCACUUUAUGUCUAUCUUACAUUUUUUAUUAAAUAUUAUUAAUUUUUUAAUACUUAAAUGAGUUAUAAUAAUUAAUUAACAGUGAUAUUUAGUAAACAGUGAUAUAACAAAGUUACUGUAAAAAUAUUUGUGAAUUUUUUUUAAGUGAGCCUCAUAUAAGACGUCAAGUUAAUUUAAAACAUCAAGAUUUAAUUUAUCAUUUUAUAUCUAUUUUAUCUUUUUAUUAAAUAUAUUAAUUUUUUUAAUACUUAAAUGACUUAUAAUAAUUAAUUAGGAAUGAUAUUUAAUAAAAUUAUGGUUGAAACAUCUGAAACAGACAUGUCAUAAAUGUCUACUUUUUUAUUUAGAUAUUAUUAACUUUUUAAUAUAUAAAUAAUUUAUAAUAAUUAAUUAAGAGUGAUAUAGGUUAAUCACGAUUGAAGCAGUUGAAGCAUGCGCAUCGAAACAACUGCUUUUAUAAAAUAAAAAAGAAAAGAAAUUAAAAAAUAUUAUCAAAUUUAUAUAGAAUUUGAAUUUCAAAAAUCACAAAAAUAAAUUAAAAGUGAAGUAGUGGUAUUUUCAUGUUCUCAUACAUAUGCCUACCUAAAGCAUUUUCCGUACAAAUCCCAAAUUGAAGAAGCUUUGUAAUUUCAAAAUCUUUCCCAGCUGCACCGAACCAUUCCGGAAAGCCUCUCUCCGCAUCUCUUUUAAUCUUCUUCAACUCUUUGAUCUAGCUAGUCAUAGUAGUUUCUAUUACACUUAGUUGACUUGAGAUUCAGUCAUCAAGUCGGCGAAUCUUUGACUGGGAGAUAGAAAUGGAGAAUCUGAUAUCAUUAGUUAACAGAUUACAAAGAGCUUGUACUGCACUUGGAGAUCAUGGCGAGGAGAGUUCCUUGCCUACUCUUUGGGAUGCUUUACCUACUAUCGCCGUCGUCGGUGGACAGGUUUUCCACAUCUAGAUCUCUCUAUUUUCGUAACAAUUUUUGUGACAUAGUUCGGAUUUCGAGAGUCAAACACAUUAAGCCAGAUUCAUAUUUGGCUCUCGAAAUCCAAACUAUGUCGGUAGCAUAAAUUGGAACAGAUGGAGUAUUUUGUUUCACACAUCUGGAUUCUCUAUUUUCAUACUCCAUUCGUCACAAUUUAUACGACAUUUAGUUCGGAUUUUUAGACUCUAAUAUGUAUCUGACUCUCUAAAUCCGGAGUAUGUCCUAUGGAACAAAUGGAGUACUUUUUUUUGAUUUCUCUUUUGGAUUGUGAAGCAAACUUCGAUUCUGUUUUAUUGCAUCGCUUAUGUAUGAAUCUGAAAAUGUUAGCUGGCGAUGGGCCUUUUUACUUCGUUUGAAUCUUUGUUCGUAUUUAAUGAGCUUGAUGCUGUUAAUUUGCGUGUUCAUUGAAGUCAGAUCUGCGCUUUAUAUUGUACUCCCUCCAUUUCAAUUUGUUUGUUUAAGAAAGUAGAGAUUCCCUCUUUUGUACUCCCUCCUUCCCAUUUUAUGGGUAGCCUUUUGAUCGGGCAUGCGGUUUAAGAAAUAAGUAAAGACUUUGUGAAGUUUACCAAAUUGUUCUUUUUAGAAAAGUAAAAAAAGAAACAAGGAGUACUAUCUUUAAAAUUAGAUUUAGAUGGGACCAAUGAGGAUAAAAGAGAAUUGUUCCCUUUUUAUAUAGUUAUCAAAUAAAAAGAAGUGACAUUACCGACUACAAAGAAAAGUGUGCCACAUAUAAUGGGGCAUAGGGAGUAUGUCAUAAACUAUAGAUAUGUAGACUCAAGAGUGUACCAAAAUGCCUUAAUUAAAGAGUUGUCAAAAAAAGAAAUGAGACAUUCUUCUCCAAAAAAAGGGAAAUGAGGUGUUUUUGAAAUGAGUUAAAAAGGAAAAGCAGGACAAACAAGUUGAAACGGAGGGAGUACUCUUCAAUUUGUUUGUGUGGUUUGGGUUUGGCACGGAGGUUUAAGUAGAGAAGGCUUGUGCAUUUUGUGGUCUUAAACUAAAGAUACGUAGAAUGUACCAAAAUGUCCUUUGUGGUAUUAAUUAAAGAGUUGUCAAAAAAGAAAAAAAGACAUUCUUCUUAAUAGGAAAGUAGGACAAACAAAUUGAAACGGAGGAAUUACUCUCUUUAAUUUUUAUUGUGUUUUUGUAUUUUUAUGCUCAUAGUUUCUAUAAGUAAUUGUCUGUUUGUUGCAUUAUCUCUGUUGAAGCACUUUUCGUCAUUUCGUCACUAUAUUUUACCUGAAAAUUUUGUCGUGAAAUGAGAUCUCCAGCACUUGUUACUUGCCUCAGCUUGAUCCGAUGACAUUAGUCCUGAAAUGCUCGUAUAAGUUGGUUUCACAUUUAUUUAUUUACUGUAAUAUGUUCUUCCAAAUGUUGUUGCAUUCUAGUUGUAAUUUAUGAGAUGAUAUUUGACUUAUAUAAUAUAUCAGUGAUUGUGAAAAGUUAUUUCAGAAUUUAGUUUGAUAGAAAAAGCAUCAUAUUAGAAGUUUUAAAUUGAAUAGUUUAAACUUUAAUGAAAUGAAUUCUUUAGAGUUGAAAAGUUAUAUGUAAAUAAACAUUUCUGGAAUGUCUCAAAAGGGAUUAGAGGGAGCUGGACUGAGUUUAUAUGUUAUUUGCUAAGUUUCUCGGACUCUUCACUUUUGAUGUCCCACCCAUGUCGACACGACAUGGGUGUGGGAUUCGUACCGGAUUGGGUCAACAAUUUUGGGUAUUUUGACCAAAAUCGACAUAGAAAUUCAAGACAAAUACAAUGAUUCUGUAAUAAAAAUAAAAGUAAGGAUGAAAUUGAAGAAAAUAAAAUAACUUGAAUAUAGAAAUUUCACUGUCAGUCCAUUUCCUUUUAUCUCCUUCUGGAAUUCUCCACUUGAUCAAUAUUUUCUCCUGGAAAUACCUUGUAUAGUGUCUCAUAAUUUAAACAUAUAACUCUAUUUUUAGCCGAAUCCUCACAUUCGUAUCUGUACCUAAAUCCGUAUCCCUAAUCUUAAAAUUUACAUCAUGAAGGAUCUGGGAUCUAGAUCCGAACCUUUAUUGAACAGCCAUAUUCGAGUCCGAGCAACUUAGGCUAUUUGAAUUAUUUAGGACCAACUUUUUUCUAACUUUAUUUGGGUUGAAACUUUGAGAAUUUUGGUCCAUGUUAGGGACAUGUGAAGGGGCAUUCGAGUACCAUAGUUUGUUUAUCAAAAGUAGAAUCUGAAUGUAAUAUGCGGUAUAUCGCUUGUCUUAUGGUCUGCUUGACAUUGAUGCUAGAACGUGCUGUUCCAUAGCUUGAUGCAUUUCUGAGUGUGCAUUCUAUGCAAAUAUACAAUGUUGUGGAGAGUGGAUGUUUAGGUCCGGAAGUGAGUGAUCCAAUGCCCUUUCUGCUCAACUAAAACUUGGGGGCAUGCUGAUAGUUUUCUAGUGGUGGUGUGCAUGACUGGUAUCAUGUGUCUGUUCUGUGAUAAUCUAUCUUAUAUUGUGUACUUAAUGUCUUCCAAAAACUGUUGAUUCCAUAGAUUUGUAGGUUUAUUAUGCAUUUAUGUGGCUUAACUCCCAUCUUUUGAAUGGCUUGUAGAGUUCUGGGAAAUCUUCAGUGCUUGAGAGCGUUGUUGGAAAAGAUUUUUUGCCUCGUGGAUCGGGUAAUAAUUCCAUCAAUUGAAUCAUAGAUGCAAAACUUUAAGAGUACCAGAAUUCUCACAUAUCACGUACAGGAAUUGUCACCCGUCGCCCCCUUGUCCUACAGCUUCAUCGGAUAGAUGAAGGUAGAGAAUAUGCAGAAUUUGGACACCUACCAAGGAAGAGGUUUACUGAUUUUGGUAAGUUUUUGACAAGCAACAUUACUGUAUUAUUUGCUCAAUUCUAGUUGUGAUCUUCUGCAUGAAGCACCUGUCAGUGUGUGUUCUUGUUGUCAUUAUCUUCUGGGACUUCAUUAGCAAACUGGGGCUUAAGUAGUAAACUUUUUCCUCGACAUUCGUUCACUUUAGUCUGUUGUUCUUUUUGAUUCUAAGUCUUAUACGUGUCUCACAGCUGGUGUGAGGAAGGAGAUUUCUGAUGAGACUGAUCGAGAAACGGGCCGCAGCAAACAGAUUUCUAGUGUGCCAAUUUACCUCAGUAUAUUUUCUCCAAAUGGUAUGAAGAGCUUUUCGUUCUCUGUUUGUGCAAUUCAACUGUCUGCAUUGGUGUAUUUCUAACUCCAUUUGAGGUUUUUGGUGAUUUUUAUUUUUUGGAUAAAGGUUGUUGAUGAUGUAUUUGUUUUGAGCAAGCAGGAUAUUGAAAUUUGUAGGAUGCGGUUGAAUUUGAUUACAACAAAAAUGUUAUCUAUUUAAGUGAAGUCUAGUGAUAAAUGUUUCUCCCACAAUUAAUGCAUUCAGGUACUAGCAGCUAAAAAAUUGUUGCAUCUAAUAGCCCUAGACAAUUGCUUUAAAAUCACUAAGUGGGUAAUUUUCUGCUGAAUUCCUUUGUUGUGUAUACUUUGCUAUUGCUAAUAUUGCCUUUCAGUUCUACAUUCACUUGUCAAAGUUCAUUUGAUGUUGAAAUGGAUGUUUUUGACAAUUUGUUCCAGUUUGCCUUAAGACUUCUAAUUUUGCUUGCCUGAGUUGCAGCUUUUUUUCCUCACAAACACAUUGUAUAGUUAUCCAAAAAGUCUGAGAAGAUUUUCUACUCAUUGCGCUCUAAUUUUACUUGCCUCGUCAUUUACUACAUCAUCUACUUAUUUUGGAUUUUUGUCAUGGCAGUUGUUAACCUGACUCUGAUUGAUCUUCCGGGACUUACAAAAGUAGCAGUUGGUGAGUAUAUGGUUUCUGUUCGUUUGUGUCUCUAAUUCUAAAAGAAACUGUUGAAUCUAAUGGGUUCAAAUGGAGAUAUUGAGGAUUCAUGUUACGGACCCGAACAUGUUUGCAUUAAUACAUAGAUUUUUUUUUCAAAACAAUAACUGUUGUGGAAUUGAAAUUCUGUCCAUUGAAUUUUUGUAGAGGGACAGCCUGACAGCAUUGUGCAAGACAUUGAAAACAUGGUUCGGUCUUAUAUUGAGAAGGUCUGUUAUACUUGUCUCUUAUCCAGGAGAAAACAUUCCAGUGUAUAGUGUUAAAUUUCGGAAAACAAUAGUACUGCAGUUCUUUAGUAUUUCUGUAGUUUGCUAUGCUUUUCUCUGAUAUGUCAGGAAACAUCUAAUUGUUUUUAAAGAUCUCAAUUUGUUCUUCACACUUGUGAAAAUCACUGCCUUCUGUUUUCUUGACAUUGCAGCCCAAUUGUAUUAUUCUUGCAAUUUCCCCUGCAAAUCAAGAUCUUGCAACAUCGGAUGCAAUCAAGAUUUCUCGUGAAGUAGACCCUAAAGGUCAGUGUCUGGGAAUUUUUUCGUAUAAUUUUCCUUCCGGCUAGCUCUAGAUUGUUCUAACUGAACAUGUUUUUUGUUAGUGGGAGGUAGUUGUAUCUGGUUAUGAUAGUUGGUUAAGUUAGUUACUGUUAGGCUACUUAUAUAACAGAAGCUGCCACGUGCAUUAUGGACCUGUAAUAAGCUGGAAUGCUUAGUGUACUCUUGAUCAAAAUUUCACCCCUUCCAUAGAAUGAUACACUUGCUGCAUACCCCACUAAUCUCUUGUCCACUCUUUCAGUUAGUAGGUUCCCACUGUAAGAUCCCUACUUGAUGCACCAAGCACUGGCCCCAAGUAGUAGUCAGGAGUGUUCAUUUUUUGCAAUUAAGCACCUGUACUAGUUGUUCAAUGUUUGCCUCACAUCCUCCAUGGGGAUGAUUUUUAGCCCUGAACUACUUAGAGACCAUAUCAAGACCUGCCCCAGGUAAGCUAACUGUUGUCUGCAAAAAGGUGGGAGAUCCUGAUGUCAUCACUCCCUCCUACCCCUGCCUUGAAGACCUUCAAGGAAUCCACUAUGUUCUCUCUGUCCAUCAUCUUACUCAGUGCCUCCAUUACCAAUAUAGAUAGUGUGGGAAUUAAAAGAUCCCUCGUCUCGAGGCCCUAUAGCUCUGAUAAAACCACAUUGGUUUUAAUUGAUAAGAACUCCUGUUUGAGGGGGUUGAAAAUGAUUAUGUACAUUUGAGGAAUAGCUUCUGUUUGAUUGCAUGUUGGUGCACCCUUGAUAUUCCAAUUUGUAUGGAUGAUUGGGUCUCUUUCAUACAGAAUCAUGUUGUGUGUAGGUCCUCUACCUUUUGGUAUAUCACUUGUUUACGGGAACUUUAUGCCAUUGAUUAAUAAUUGUUUACUCUAUAAAAAACUGACAACUUUAGUGUAGACAUUAAAAACUUUAGCCACCUUCUCUACCUUUCUCUGCAACCUAUCUUUAGCAUGACAAAGUUCAAGAAGUUCCAAUCACGUGGUUGUAUGCAUUCUCUACAUCCAACUACCUUUCAAGAGGCCACCGUUUCAUUUUUCAUCAAUCCUGCAUGUAGAAUUUAUAUGCUCUCCACAAACGCAAACACAUUCUAAGAGUGAGACAUUGUAUCAUUGAGACCUUCUUUAGUGUACUUGAGACCAUCUUAAAAUUGAUCUUGUUGAUGUUUCCUGCUAGACUAAUAGGUCCACAUUCCCCAUUAUAUGUGGCUCCCUCCUCCUUCUGGGUUAUGCAAUGAUAGAUGCAUUGGGGCUCUUCUCAGACUUUCCUGAUUUCUGGAAUGAUGUAGCAGUCUUCAUGUUGUCUUCCUUGAGGACAGUCCAGCAUUGCUGAAAAAAGGUUUGAGUAAAGUCCUCCAGUCCGAUGGUUUAUCUCCCACACAAUUCUCCAGUCUCCCUCAACUCCUCUCCUCUCUACCCUCCAACCACUUUUUCAUUUUCUCUCCUAUUUGGUUAAACUCUAUCCACCCAAAUUCAGUUUCUAUUCUUCCUUUUCCAUGUACACUAGGGAAUUAAAACUAGAACCACCUACUUGACCCUCUUCCUCAAAUUCAUAAAUCAUUCCCCCCUCUUUUGUUGACUCCACUAAGUUCUUUCUCCUAUUUGCUGUUUCCACCCCAUGAAAGAACUUUUUAUUGGAUCUUCUUCUUUCGAACAGAGUGUUCUACUUCUAGUUAUUUUGUUUUCAGCUAGUCUCCCAAACUAUUGAUGACAUUGCUAACUCCCCUUUUCACAUUUUCCCUAGUUUAGUCCCCCUAUCCCUCCAUUUUUUCUGGAUUUCCCAAUUCAUUCAUGAACUCCCUCAUCUUAACCUCCACCCUUCCAAAGACAUCCCUAUUCCACUCGUUCAUGUCCUGUUUUAAUGGUAUCUUCUUAGCCAAGCUAAAUGUACUUUCACUUCAUCUAAAACAUAAUUCUGAGGAUAUUCCACUUUAUCUAAAUUACGUAUGCAUUUUUAAUCCUAGUUUUAUUGAAUAUGAAUCAAAGAUCAAGUCAUACGACUUUUCCUUUUUCUCAAAAAGAAGAAGUCAUACAACUUCUAUUUCUUCUUUAAGCAAAUUGAAGUCUCUUAUCCUAUAUUGACUUCCCACUGUUUACAUUCUUCAAGGACAACAAGAUUUAAGCUUAUUACAACCUAAACCUUCAAAACAACAUGUGUUCCAUAUUUUUACUUAUCUAGUUUGGCGAAGCUACAAUAUUUGAAACCCAAAAAGUUUUUCAAGUUUGUCCAGUGCGUAAUUUCUUUUCUUUUGAUAGAAAGAAAGACCAUCAUUGUUUUCUUACUUAUCCAAAAAGAAGAGAAAAAAAUUAAAGCGAGAAAGACCAUUCCUGUUUCUGAAUUACUUGCCAGAACACAGCACUACUAGUGAAGUCUAAUGAGACGUGUUUUUCUAUUUUUAGCUCAUCUUUAUUCAAAUAUUGAUUACCUUUUACUUGGCAUUUUGCUAAUCUGUUCUUGUUGUGGAUCUGUCAAUUCAAUUAUCUUGUACAACUCAGAACUAUUUGUUCUCCUAUGCAUUUGUGAUCAUUUUUGAUUGAGCAAAUAGUGUAGUUUAAGUUUUAUCUAGGUUCAUAAUCUCAGGCCAUUUUCUAUCUUUUGACUCUUUUCGUCUUCUCCUUGUGUGGUAAUGUGCUAGCUCGAUGCAAGUUUUGUAAUAUGGUUCAUUCUCGGUCAAGAUUAUGUAUACUCAUAUCAAGAACUAUUUCAUUAGUUUAUUCUCAGUCAAGAUUACAUAUACUCAUAUCAAGAAUUUUCAUCUUUAACACUCUUUCGACUCAGUAUCUGGCCACUUGCUUCAGGAGAAAGGACAUUUGGAGUUCUGACCAAGAUUGAUCUCAUGGAUAAGGGUACCAAUGCUGUUGAUGUAAGCUUUUAUUUGAUUAAUAAUAAUCACUACUAUACUUGUUGGAACAUGCAUUUUUACGUAAAUGUAGCUUUAAUUGGCAUAUAUGAGUAUGGACCUCCUUAUAUAUUUUGGUAUCCUUUAGGUAAAGCUUGGGACGAGUUGCUUUUAGUCUUUGCAUUCCCCCUUUGGGUGUCAAAUUUAUGUCAUAAGCUGAUCUUUUAAGUUUGGUAGUAACGGGUCUAUUAGAAACAACCUCUCUACCCUGCAAAAGUAGGGUAAGGUCUGCUAACAUCACACCCUUCUCAGACCCCACUUGUGGAAAUAUACUUGGUAUGUUGUUGUAGUUAACUGUACAUGGGUCUAUCGGAAACAACCUCUUUACCCUGCAAGGUAAGGUUUGUGUACAUCCCACCCUCCCCUCCCCACAGGGCGUUUGUAGGAAUAUACUUUGUGUGUUGAUGUUGUUGUAGUUAACCGUACAUACAUGUAGCUUUUUGUUAAGACAUGCCAUUAAUUGUGGUCCAUCUGUUCAAGUUUUGUGGCGAUGUUUGACUUGACACGAAGUUUACGGAAAAAAAGAAAAGAAAGACCAGGACUCUUGAACCUGUUAUGACAUUUCUGUGACUACAAAAACUUGUCAAUAAAGGUAAAUGAGAAAUUUUAAGUUGGAAUUUUUUCUCGUAUAGAAAGGUGCCAUUCUUUUUGAAACAAAUUAAUAAGGAAAUAAUGCCACAUAAAAUGGAACAAAGGGAUGAGUUACAUAGGGAAAAAGGGGGAAGUAUCUUUAUUUGAAGAGAAAUACUGAAGAUCCCAUGAAGAGAUAAGGAACCUAUGCACAUAAAAUGGAACAGAGGGAUGAAUAGAGUUUCAUAAUUUUCUAGUUUUUGGAGAACUUAUGUAAUUUGACUUUAAUUGGGUUUAGGUGAUCAUUAUUUCUAAUUCUAGUUUGAUUAAGUCCAAAUAUCAAUUUUGUUGUUUGUUGUAGUAGUAGAUUAGUAGUAGUAGUAGUAUCUAAGUGAAUAAAUUCUCAUAUUGGGCGAAGAGUUAUUUGAACAGAUCUUGUGAUAAUACAUUAGGAGAUACUAUUUGAGUGUGCUUAUUGUAAGUAAAGAAAUUUAGGCCAUGCACAUGACAUGAUUUAGAGGAUGAAUGUUUUGAUUUUGCCGAUCAAUCAGUGAAAAGGACUACUCUUUUAAAUCUAUUAUUUGGAAAUUGAAAGCCUAUCCGUGUGUUAUUCUUUGUGUUCUUAGUCUUACAUAUUUACAAAUAUCAUCUAUUGUUGAUUAUUCUAAAUCACGUUCUUGGAUUUCCAGAUGUUGGAAGGAAAAUCAUAUAAGCUACAGUUUCCAUGGAUUGGUGUUGUCAAUCGUUCACAAGCUGAUAUAAACAAAAAUGUGGAUAUGAUUGCUGCUAGGCGUAGGGAGCGAGAGUACUUCUCUAGUACCCCUGAAUACCGUCAUCUUGCUCACAGGAUGGGUUCAGAACAUCUUGGGAAAGUUCUGUCGAAAGUAUGUCAUAUUCUUUCUUAUCGAAUUAUUCAGGGCUUGAACCUUUUUUUCACUUGAACAUUUUCCAUCUUAUUUCGCUUUCUUCAUUGUGCUCUAAAUGAAGCAUUUAAGGUCUGUAUGCUUUUCCUAUUUGAUGUGGACUUGUAGUUGAGGUUUGUGCUGGAUAGCUAACCGUUUUUCUUUGAUUUUCGGUCUACAUUUCUAGCAUUUGGAGUCUGUUAUCAAGUCUAGGAUUCCAGGUCUCCAGUCUCUUAUCAAUAAAACUAUAAUUGAGCUAGAAACUGAGUUGAGCCGUCUCGGAAAGCCCAUCGCCACGGAUGCGGGAGUAAGUAUCCUAUUUAAAUAUCUACCUUUCUGUUGUAUUGGUUCUCAAAUCCUCUGAGGUGAUUUACUAUCUGGCUAAAGCUAAUUGAUUCUCUACAUCUCUUCGUAGAUUAGUUCGUAGAAUACGAGUCUACUUUUGGUGUUCUUGUGAGUGAAUCAUAUGUCAUGUCUUCGUUUUGCAUGUUUUGAUCAGGGGAAAUUGUAUAUGAUAAUGGAAAUCUGUCGUAGUUUUGAUGGAAAUUUCAAAGAACAUCUUGAUGGAGUGUAAGUAUUUCAUGUUCGUUUUUUGUUUUUAUCGUCUUUUUAUAUUGUUCUUUGUUUUGAGCCGGGGUAUCGGAAACAACCUCUCUACUUCUUCUGAGGUAGUGGUAUGGACUGCGUACACUCUACCCUCCCGAGACCUCACUUUGUGGGAUUACCCUGGUAGGGGUGGUGUACAUAGGUCGGGUUGGUUUGGUUUUUUAUUGAAUAAAAACCAAAUCAAUUAUGUCGGUUUAUUAAAACUAUAAACCAAAUCAAACCAACAUAAAAUCGUUUUUUCGGUUUAGGUUUUAGUCGGUUCUUUCGUUUUUUUCGGGUUUUCUCGGUUUUUUUUAUCAUCUUUAUUUUUUACAAUUAUAUUGUAAUUGAAGACUAGAUUAAGUAUGUUAUCACUCACGUGCUAAUGAAAAAACUCAAUUAUGAAAAAUUGAUGAGCGAAAAACUCUCUUGAAACUAAAAAGUAAGAUGAAGAGUGAAAAGUUUAGAUUUUAAGUUUAUAUUGAGUUUUGGAUCAUUUUAUUAGCAAUUAAUGGACAAAUAUUAAAACUUAAUAUAUAUAUACACACACACACACCUACUUUUUAAAUAUUAAAAAUUAAUAAAACUAAUUGAAAAUGCAUUUAAAAGUAAAUUAUAAUUAAUAUUUUAUGUAUAAAAAGUUAAAUUAUAUAUAUGCAUAUAUAUAUAUAUAUACAUACAUACAUACACACACACACACACACCCCUACUUUCUAAAUAUUAAAAAUUAAUAAAACUAAUUGAAAAAGUAUUUAAAAAGUAGAUUAUAAUUAAUAUUUUAUGUACAAAAAGUUAUAUAUAUAUAUAUAUAUAUAUAUAUAUAUAUUAUAUUAUGUCGGUUUGAUUUAUGUUCGGUUUGACUUUUUUUUGGUUAACACCAAACCAAAUCAAGAAUAGUCGGUUUAUUUUUCCAAACGCCAAACCAACCAAACCAAACCAUAAGUCGGUUUUUUUUCUCGGUUUGGUUUGCUUCUUCGGUUUGGUUUGAUUUGACGGUUUGGUCUAUACACCCCUAACCCUGGGUAUGUUGCUGUUGUUGUUGUUGUGACAUAUCCAAAUAAACUAUAUUUUUAUAUGGUCUAAGCUUGUUUUUCUGAUGUCUGAAUUCACAGUCGACCAGGAGGUGAUAAAAUAUAUUACGUCUUUGAUAAUCAGCUCCCAGCUGCAUUGAAAAGAUUGCAAUUUGACAAGCAACUAUCAAUGGACAAUGUAAGGAAACUUAUAACUGAAGCGGAUGGAUAUCAACCACAUUUGAUAGCUCCGGAACAAGGAUAUCGUCGUCUCAUUGAAUCUUCCAUAGUUUCUAUGAAGGGUCCUGCUGAGAAACUGGUGAUGCGGGAUGAAUUUUUUGCCCCCCGAGUAUUUACCCAUAAAAUGCUGCAUAGGAUAUUGUCGUCUCAUUCAAUCUUCCAUAGUUUCUAUGAAGGGUCCUGCUGAAGAAACUGUUGAUGCGGUAUGAAUUUUUGCCCCCCGUAGUAUGUACCCAUAAUAUGCUAUUAUAAGUUGCACCGUGUAUAAUGGUGUCAGCCAGCUUUAUUAUUUUCCUGAGUGGGUUAGAUGUGCCUUUUUCAGCCACUUUUGAUGAAGCCUUUUCAUCAGCCAUUGUUUCUUCUUUGUCCUCUUUUGGGCUUUCCACUCUAGUAUUAGAGACUCAAAUUAUUGAAAAUUGGAAUGAAAUUUGUCCGUAGAUGAGGAUUCUUCUAGCAGGCCCAACUAAAUUGAGGUUGAGGCUUAAUUGUUGCUGCUGCUUCUUUUCCUUAAUUACAUUCCAGGCUUCUAUAUGGUGUAGUGAGGUGUGUAGUAGCAGGGAAGGAAUUUCACCUAGGAAAUUUUUUCUAAAAAAAGAAGGCCAAAAUGCAUAAUUGGGAGUUGAAUCUGCCACCAUAGCACUUUUCAAACCUCCUUUGCUACUAUCCUGAAAGCUCUCUUUGUGUCGGGGGGAUUCAACACUUUACAUAUAUAUAUAUGUAAUUUAUAUAUUUAGUUUAUUGGCAAAUCCAACUACAUGACUGUAGUAGGUUUGCUGGUGGCUAUUUUUUAACAUUUGUAAAAUGUCGCUAACAACACAUUAAACAUGAAUAAUUAGAGAAGGGGCUAUUUUGUCUUUCACAAAUUAUCCUCUUCUCAAUCCUCAGAGGCCCCCACCCCCACCCCCGCCCCGCCCUACUGUCACUGUGAUUCUAAAUCUUCAUCAUCAGUAUCAAGAAAAGUAUUAGUAAAUGUAAGUCAAUAGCAAUAGCUUAUGUCUCGGUGCCUUUCUUGUUCGUGUGAACUAUUUCAAUCAUAAAAAAACUACAGAUUAAUUGGAUGUAAGCUGCUCAUUUCAAAGAUCAAAGGGCCAAAACCGCAGAUUGAAUCUUACGUAAGAAAUAAAAGCAGAAGAGUGGCAGAUUGAAGAAGGCAGAGGGGUGAGGGGGAUAAAAAUCGCUUACCACAAAUUGAAUCUUGUUAGAAUAUGAGUAGGAAUAGGAAUAACAUAUGGAAUACUACUUGGAAAAGGAUUAUAAUGUAGUGACCUAUUUGGAAAAGGAUUGGAAUGUAGGGUCUAUAAAUAGAGUCUCAAUGUAAUAAUGUAGACACAACAAUUCAAUAAUAUUCUUCUCUUAUAUUUCUUCACAUGGUAUCAAAGCCUCUACGAUCUUGGUAGAGAAUCAAAAAGUUUCCGCUGCCGGAGGGCGGCUAUAACCCAUAUAUGCCGCCCGUCUGGCCUAUGAUUAUGUUAGCAAAAGUUGGUCACUACGCUUCUUCCAGUGACUACUUUCUCAUAUAUAAUCUGCGUAGCACCAUGCAUUUUUCUGAUGACUACUUUUUCAUAUCUAUUUUCGUAGCAUCAUGCAUCUUUUCGAUGACUACUUUCUCAUAUUUGAUUUGUGUAGCACCGUGCAUUUCUCUGGACUAUUCAUUGUUAAUUUGUGUAGUACUGUGCAUCUUUUCAAACUACUUUCUCAUAUUUGAGUUGCAUAGCACCUUCUUUCUUUUCGGUGAUUCAUCAUAUCUGAUUUGCGUAGUUCUUUGCGUCUUUCCGGUGUUUCCUUAAAUCUGAUUUGCGUAGGGUCGUGUGAUCAUUCGACCCUACCCAUAUCAUUUCUAUUUUAAAGUAAGGUCGUGCCAUCAUUCCGACCCUACCCAUAUAAUUUCUCUUUUUCGGUAGUGUCGUGCCAUCAUUCUAAUCCUACUUAUAUAAUUCUCUUUUUCGAUCAGGUGGUGCCAUCAUUCCGACCCUACAGGUCGUGCCAUCAUUCCGACCCUACUCAUGUAAUUCUCUUUCUGAGUAGGGUCGUGUCAUCAUUUCAACCCUACCCAUAUAAUUUUUUCUCAGAUGGUGACCACUUUUCGGCCAUCAAAUCUAAUAAACCGCGUGUGAGCAUGUUCCGACUAGUUCUUUGAUGAGUAUCUUGUUCAAAAUCUACUCCUUUCUUGAUUUCGAGAUAACCCAUAUAUUUUGUACUAGUUUCCGACAAUUUUCCAGCGACAAAUCGACUUUUCAGCGAUGUUUACUACUUUUCGAAUCACUUUUUCAAUUUGUUCCUUUUCAACUGAGGUUUCUCAGAUGUCCAAAACAGUCCUUAUCAGUUUUCUUGCAUAUAUCUUCUCCAAGUCCCUCAUCGAUCCUCGUAUUAAUUACAUUUAUUUCAAUCUUGGUACAUAUGCCUUGUUUGCACCAGCUUGAGGGAGAGUGUUAGAAUAUGAGUAGGAAUAAGAAUAGCAUAUAGAAUCCUACUUGGAAAAGGAUUUUCAAUGUAGUGACCUAUUUGGAAAAGGAUUGGAAUGUGUGUCUAUAAAUAUAGUCUCAAUGUUAUAAUGUAGACACAACAAUUCAAUAAUAUUCUUCUCUUAUAUUUCUUCACAAAUCUUAUUCAGAAAAAUAAAGG